rnacentral:lncRNA from 1 species
UCUAUUUCGCACAUGGCAUUGGAGGUUUUGACAUUGUGAAUGACGUCAUCUAAUUCGACGAAAUCUCGGCAUUCGUUAUGGCUUUCCACGAUACAUUUGCUGCAGCAGGGAAAUUCAUGCUUCUGGCAAUACAUUUGAUACUUUUUAUCAUGUUUGCUACAGUACUGAGAAAUUCUAAGUAUAUCAGUUGGUAAUUUCUGGUAAUCAGUAAUGGGUAUCACGCAAUGACUUCUCGACGACUUAGACAAUCUAUGAUGUUCGUUGCAUUCUGUACACAGGCCCUCGUCACAUUCUGUACACCAGACUAUGGAUGGUUUGGUGAUGUGACGGAGUUCACAAACACCACAGCUCUUAGUAGCUGUCGCCAUUAAACACAAACUACAAAUAACAAUAUCUGAUUUGAAAGUUAACAACAGCACCACCAUCAACCACCAACAUAAAAAGAAAUAAUGGCUUAAUUAAGUUUUGAAAUAGAAGUGCUGUGAGGUACUUCGGUUUCCUAUGCAGCUUGUGUAGAGUCCAGUGUCACAUAUUUUAAAUUGAUAAAAUCGACAUUUAACUUUUUAUAAUAGAUAGUGGAAAUGUUUAUCAAGAAAUUCAGUUUAGAUUUGUUUUAAAUACGAAGUUAAUCUUCAAUUAGUGUUGAUUUGAGACUAAUACUAGCCAGCUAUUUCCAUCAAUCAUCAUAUUGAAAGUAUUAGUUAGAUUAUGUUCAUAUAUUUAUUGUUAAUCAAUUACAAAUAAAUAUAAUGAUCAACUUAUUACACCUCAAAACUUGCUCGCAUGUCACAGUACAAUUAAGCAGAACAAAUAUAUAAACUUUUUAAACAUAAAAAAAACUCAAUUUCGUUUUUUUGUAUUAUUACAAAAAAAGAAAGUAAAUAACAACUUGUAUUGGUUAGUAGGUACUUAUUUGUAUUUAUUUGUAUUUAUACACAAUAAAGAUAGAGAGUUACGGUUCUUGACAUUUUUUUUUUAUAGUUAUUAGAUGUUAAAACAAGGAUAGUACUAUACAAAUCCUUGGUUAAUACAAUUAAAAAAAAAAAAUAGAUAUGGGCAAGGAUUUGUAUAGUAAGAAGUCUUACUAUACAAAUCCUUUAUAUGGGCGAUGCCCCCCUCUUCUACCCUGCCAUAUGCAUGAGUAUAGUUCCACAUACUUUAGAUUUGAUGUUGAAGGACAACCUGAAAUUGCACCAUUGUCUGUUAGUCACGAAUGAUGCACCCACUUGAUCAUACGAAAUUAUACAUUUAAUACCUUUUAAGAGAAAGGAGAUGUUAAAUGAGUAAACUAACGUGAUUCGACUUCCUUUUUGUGUUUUGGGUUGUACAUUUGGUAUAAAUAUAUGAGAACCUUUAACAUGUUUAACUGUGUACUGACAUCAGUGAUACAUAUACCAAAUACAGUUUCGUUUCCUUUACCUGCUAAAUGAAUGGGCCCGUGAACAUGUAUAUAUGAAGUUCCAAUAAUUUGUUUAAUUACUGUACAAACUCGUGUAGAUAACAAAGAUAUUAUGAACGAAAACAAUAUCUUGACAUAGAAAUAGGCCAUAACAUAAAUUAUGAUAAAUAUAUAUUAUGGCCAAGCCCAGAACGAAAGUUAAAUAGCAAACAUUUACAAAUUUUAACGUAAUUAGGUCAUAAGUAUAUUAGCGAGAAUGGAAAUAAUAACUAAAGUAGAAUUAAUCUUUGAAAUAUCGAUAAAAUCCUAAAAAUUACCUUUUAGUUUGAAAUAUUCAUUCCCUGUCUGGUUUCCAAGGAAGAUUAUUAAUCACAUGACUGAUUUAAAAAGUUGAUAAAAGCCGGGAAUUUUAGAAUUUAAUCUACAUUUAUACAAGUACGAUAGGAUUGUACUAAACAUUAGUGUUUCUCGUAUCUCGUUUUUUAUAUAGAUUAGACUGUUGUUUUUCCUGUUUGAAUUGUUUUACACAAGUAAUUUUUGGGGCCCUUUAUAGCUUGCUGUUCUGUGUAAGCCAAGGCUCCGUGUUGAAGGCCGUACUUUGACCUAUAUGAUGGUUUACUUUUACAAAUUGUGACUUGGAUGGAGAGUUGUCUCAUUGGCACUCUUCUUUUACAUCUAUAAACCCUUAAUCAUUGUGGAUAUAUCUAGUUUUGCUUACAUUUCUGAAGCACAGGAGAACUUCAUCGUAUUAAAGGGGAGAAAUGUGUAGCUCGGCCUUUUGUUUUCUAUGUAGUGAAAACAUCCGUUACAUCAACCCUUUUAAUAAAUUUAAAAUAACAAAAAUACAUACCAUUCCAUGUGCAUAUGUUUUAUCAAAAAUUCAUAAGAGAUUCCACAGAACCCUAUGUCUCGCCUUCGAUGUCUGCUGUUAGUGUUAUGUUGACUUAAGAGUGAGUUCAUUAAUCAGUAAAAUACAGAAUCUAAAAAAAAUCAAUCGUUUUGUUAAGAUGCGGUUUUCGUCUUGAAGAUUAGCUUCUGUCCAAGUUUCUUAACAGUCAAUGAAGGUUUACAAAUGUAUCAUGUCAACGCAUUUAAUCCCAGACAGUGAGACUGUAUGUAAAUGUUAAAUGAAAAAAACGAAGCCCAUCUAUCAGAAAAAAUACUAAAAGGAUUUGCUUCAGACAUUAUCUCUUAAUCAUUAAAAUGUUAAAAAAAAAUCUAUAAAGGUUUGACAGAGCUGUAAAGAACUAAGUACAUUUAUAAGUUAAAUACGUGAAAUUUUGCUCUGGAUACUGUCUUUAUGUCAUAAAAAGUAAAGUAUAGAAAAUACCGAACUCCGAGGAAAAUUCAAAACGGAAAGUCCAUAAUCAAAAUCAAAAGCUCAAACACAACAAAUGAAUGGAUAACAACUGUCAUAUUCCUGACUUUGUACAGCUUCAAAUUUUAUAAACUUCCAUGAAUGUUUGACAAAGGUAUUAAUGACCGAAAAACUUUAACCCAGACUAAAUCUGAACGGUAACUGUAUAACAAACUAUGUCCAUUUAUCAGAAAAAAACCGCUAAAAAACCCCCCACCUAAAUGCCUAAAUGUUGACGCCGUCAAUGGAAUCUAGAAUCGAUAUGUCUCCCUUUUUUGUUAGUUUGUUAUUAAUUUGGGAACUAUAAGAGAUAAGAAGAUAGUGAGAACAGUGAAUAUGAUCAGCAAGAAGAUUGAAUUAUACUAGGAACUAUUGAUAUAAUGAUUUAUUUGAAAGAAUAGAUUCUGCAUUUUUUUUAACUUAAAAUUUUUACUAGUCCAAGGAAAUUUAAGCUACUUUUCCACCUUGGAAAAAAAAAAAAUGGAUAGGCACUAGAACUCAAAAUUAGUAGAGGAACACUUUGGGUGCACGAUUUAGAUUUUUAACUAACAAAUAUCGGCACCAAUUAUUUUUCUUGUGAUGUGGCUAAGGGUAUUUAUAUAUAUAUUGGUCAAAAUGAGUUAUAGAAUUGGGAAACUGACCCGGACAUGAGAACAUAUUAAAUUAAGAAGAACUAUACUAUGAUGUUUUAUUCAUCUGAUGUAGUGUCUGUGAUUGUGUAUAUGCCUCUUUUAAUAGAGGAAAAUUAUUACAUAAAUUCUCGAAUCUAUACCAGUACAAUUACAUUCCUUUAAUAAUAUCAAAAUAUAUUGGAAAUCUUCCAAGACUGCAGCAUUUGUUGUUUUCUUGUAUACCCAAAGUAUCCUUACCUUAACCUUAACCUUAAUUCUAUCCGUUCCAGAAGUCGCAUAAGGCCUCAAAUGACUGUGUGAUGCGCACCUGUAUGUGUGUUGUUGUGUCUGUGCUUGUCACUCUCGCUUUCAGCAUUCAUCACUGGCUAGCAGCUUGCUGUGAAAAGGAGAACCGAGUGUGUGUAAGUCUUUCCUGCCAGUUACAGCCUCUCAUGCAGUAAGACAUAUGUGGCCCAGAUAUGGGAUCCUCCACGAGGUGAUAGAUGGAAACUGGUCGCCUCAUGGCCCCAGGCAAAACCACAAAGUCUCGGAGGAGGUUUGGCCCCUAGAUGCAAAGCAUGCUAAGCCCACCGGUGAGUGGAUAUGCCCUGGUGCCUGCAAACCAAACCCCCAGCUAUCGGUAAAUAGCCCCACUGCCUUGUGGGUGACCGUGGAAGUCAAAGGCUAUGGGAGACAACCCAGAAAGAAAUCCGGACAGAUGUAAUCCGUUAGCAGGGUAAUUCAAUCAUCUACGGGAAGGACUACCCAGAGAGCAAACCCGGUCCACCGGAGCGGAGGUUGGACGUUGGGCUAACAACCCAGCUCUGUAAAAAAGAGCUUGUUACAGAAACCCAAAGUAUAGAUUUACAAAAUUUUAUAUGAAGUUUCUCACAUGGUAAACCUGAAUAUAAUUUUACAAAAAGAUAUAUCUUCCUUUUAACAUUUAGAGGAAAGAGAAUUAAACAUCCCCAAUAUUUCGCUACCAUAUAAUAAAAUUUGUUUUACAGUGUGGACAAAACAUCAAUACUUGUUUUUAUGUUAGAAUUAAGUGAUAAAAGAUCUUUCCUUAAUUUAGAAUAAGCUUUCAGGGAUUUCUUGUAUAGUUAUUUUGUAUUUUUUUAUUUGUAUCUUGAAACAAAUUCCAGAUUUAUAUUCUGAAAUGUGAAUAUUUGUUUUACAUGUCUGCCUGUUUUGUUGAAAAUCAGAACCUUUGUCUUAUUAGUGUUCACAUUGAGACACCAAUCUUUGCAAAAUUUAUCAAGUAUUCUCAGCUUUUCUUGUAGUCCUUCGGCUGAUGUAGAUAAUAAAACAAUAUCAUCGGCAUACAUUAAACAAUGUAGAUCUUUGUCAUUGACAUUAAUUGGAUCUCUAGUCUCUGACAAAUAUCUGGGCAAAUCAUUUAUGAAUAUCUUGAAUAAAUCAGGACUGAGAAUGUCACCUUGUUUCACUCCGAUAUCUAAUGGGAACAAAUCACUUACUUGAUUUUUAAUUUUGACACAUGAUUUGGUUAUUUCAUACAUACUCUUAACAAUGUUAUAGAAAUAAGAUCCAACCCCAAUAUCUAGUAGUUUAAUUUUGAUCCCUGUAUGUAUAACAGUAUCAAAAGCCUUCUGAAAAUCAACAAAACAGGCAAACAGUCUCUUUUUUUUGAAUUACAGUAUUUGUUAAUAAAAAGACAGUUUAAAAUAAACAUAUGAUCUGCAGUUCUGGCUUUCCUUGUGAAUCCAAUAUGACUAUCAUGCAUAAUAUUAUGUUCCUGGAGAAAUUUGUCCAGUCUUAGACUUAAAAAAUAAAAAUUCUAUUAAAAAGCUAUCCAAUUGCACUUGUUAUUGUUAUUCCUCUAUAAUUGUUAGGGUCACUUGUAUUGUUGCAUUCAAAGAUUGGUUUAAUAUAACCUUCAGCCCAUGAUGUUGGGUAUAUACCUGAAGACAGACAAGUAUUUAACAUCUGUUGAAAACUUUUUAAAAGAAAUGUCUGCCGAUUCUUUAUCAUGUUAUUACUAAUGUUAUCCAAGCCUGAUGAUUUAUUGCAUUUUAAGUGUGAAAUGACUUUGGAUAUUUCAGACUCUGUGAUAGCUGAGUCCAACUCGUUGAUACAUUUUGAGUUUUCUAACUGUUUCAGUUUUUCACAUAGCUCUGUAUAUCUACUUUGAAAUUCACCUUUCAGUUGUGACAACUUUUUGGAAAUGUGAUUUCAAAAUUGAUAGUGGUACUCCGCAUUUUUUUUUGUGUUUCGUGUUUUUCCUGUAGUUCAUUAAUCAAGUUCCAAUACAGUGUUGAAUUCUCCUCGUGCAAGGAGUCCAGCUGACUAAUCAAUAAACUAUAUAUACGCUGGUAUUUGUACAGUAAUGUUGUUUUUCUUAGACAAUGAACAGGGAACCAGACCAAGGGUACCUAUAUCCACUGUGAUGACAUGUACACUAGUAUCCUUCAUUAAUUUGAUGGUCCAAAAUCCAUAACUUUGGAAUGACAGGUCAAAAAUUUUCAAAAUCUAAUGGUAUCUGACUUUCACUAAGUUUAACAAUAAUGAUUCAGAACACAAACAAAGAAGAUAAAUCAACAAGACAGGAAAUAUGUGGUUUGCUUUGACCCGUUCCGUUCCACAAAAACCAAUAGUCAUCCGGAAAAUGGAACAAAACGUAAUGAAACGGAAUUGUUUAGAUUGUUUGCAUAAUAAUGUUGAGGAUUUAACAGCAACCAGUUCCUCCUUCUGUGCACCCGUAUUUUACAAAAUUCAUUAAAAAAAACCGAUGGGCUGAUUUUUAUAAAAUUACACAGAGAACUGUUUUGAGACAACCUAGUAUUAGUUAAUUUUGUUGCAAGAGGGUCUGAAAUAAUUAAAUUACUGUUAACCAAAUGAUUAUCAUUCAGUCAAUCAAGUUUAUGGUUUUUACAUCUAUGACAAUACAACCACCUCGCUGGUCUGAUGGUGGGGUUUUCGCCUCGAGUGCGGGGGGUCGUGGGUUAGAAUAGCACACGGGUCAAACUAUAAAAUUUAAAAUAAGUAUUUGCUGCUUCUGCCCUUAGCACGAAGCUUUUGAAGCUAACAGCAACGUCAGCGCGGAUUCAGAACUAUGUGUUCGGGAUUCGUGACAUAUCCACAGAUAUAAAAAAUUCCGAAAAGAACUGUUGAAAGUAAAAAAUUCUGGGUAAUUUGACCAUAUAUUGGUAUAAACAUUUUUUCUUAACGAGGAUAGAAUUACAUUUAAUUGGUUUUACAAUGGAAUGUAACUUUAUCGAACUUCAGAUAAAGGAUACAAUAGAUACGAAUUAGUCUUCCCACAAAAUUGAAAAUGGAAAUGGGAAAUGUGUAAAAGAGACAACAACCCGACCAAAGAGCAGAAAACAGUCGAAGGCCACCAAUCACUCUCAUACCUUAUUACAUCUAGAAAUUAUCAAUGAGAGUCUGUUGACAACAACAACACUUAUCGACAAGAGAGAUGAUUUCAUCUUCCCAAUUGUGGACCUUCCAUUUUUAUGCAGCCACAUUCCAGCAGCGCCUGCAUACGGAGUGUAUAUCUCCAAAUUGAUACGCUAUUUCAAGGCGUGUAUUAGGUUUGUACUAACACGAGCGACACGAAGGCUGUCACAUGUAGAGCACAUCCUGUUUACCCUUGUGGAGCACCUGGGAUUACCCAAAGUUUUUGGUGGGUUUUGUGUUGCUCGGUCUUUAGUUUUCUGUGUUUUAUUCAUUGUUGUUUGUCUGUUUGUCUUUUUCUGUUUUUAUAUAUAUAUAUCGUUGUCAGCUUGUUUUUGACUUAUGAGUUUGAUUGUCCCUUCGGUAUUUUUCUCCGCUCUUAUCUUAUAUUUGAUAUUAUCAGUAAAAGCAACCAUGAUUGAAUACCAAUCGUCAACAAAUUUUCACAAACUAACUGACCAUUCAUUUCAACUUUAGCUUAAAAUGGUUCAGUAGUUUCAGAGAUGAAAAUCCCAAUUUCACACAUGCAAAUAAAUACUGGUCAAAACCAACUCUCCGGUUCAGCCACACAUAUGAGAGUAUAGGAAACCAUGGUUUCAUAUAAACAGGUAAUGUUAUUCCAAUUGGUAACAGUAACUUUCAGUAUUUUUGAUAAGUUGUAAUGUUUUAUUUGACUUUUAUUACAUGUUGUCGUUAUCAUUGAUUUUGUUACUAUUUAUAUUAACUGAUUUUACAAUUCCAUGUGCCUAUUGUUGUUCCAUUUGUCUAAUCUCGCUACAUAUGCAUGUGCCUGUCUUUAGUAAGGAAGUAUUUCAGUGGUUGUAUUUUGUCAUGUAUAAUAUUUUUUUUUUUAUCUGGAGCAUUUGGCGCUGGUGGUAGUUCAUUGGUAAAAUCAAUAAUCUAUUACCUUUAGCUUCUACCAACUACGGCAUCUCCUUGUUUUAUUUACAUUGAAUGUAUUUCAUGGCAACUUCUGUUUCUUACUCUUGAUAAUUUGAUUUUAAGUCUUGUCGUGAUUAGAGGUAGGUAUGUGAAAAUGAACUUUGUUAAUCUAUAUGAAUAUUAGUGAUUCCAUACCAUUUAAUUCAUAAGAAUGGCAAUACAUAAAUCAACUAUUAUAAGCUUAAUAACUAUAUGUAAUUGACGCAUAAUUCUAUUUACAACACAGACUAUAUAUUAUAUCUUUGCCAGAACGUUACAAAAAAGUUGUUCUAAAUCAUGUUUUAUGAAUACUGCACAGAUUGACAUAAGCGGAGAGAAUUUUUAACUGUAUAUUUGUUUAAACUGCACCAAACAAAUAUGCAGUGUUAUUGCAGUUCGUAACCAGCAACUGAUUCGUUGUUCUACUAUAAUGAAGUGAAAAAGGAAAAUUAAGACCAUCCCAGAGCAGAUAACUACAACAUUGUUCGAUUCGCUCCCUACCACAUUCACAUUACCAUCACUGUCUGCAUCAAUGCCACGAGGACUCUGAAGAAUGUUCUUUUUUUGGUAUAUCCAUUUUAUUUCACCUUGUAGAUUAUAACAUGUCACAGUGCUUGUUUCAUUAUUUGUAUGUUAUAUGUUGUCCCUUAAUGUUGCAAUGUAACAUUGACUGGGCAUUAUGUCUCGGACUAUGUCACUUAUAGACUCGAUGUUUAUAUAGAUCAUUCGUAUACCUCUGUCGUUACCAGAAUAAAUUAAACGGUUAUCUUUCAAUGCAAUUCCAUAACUGUUCGAAUUUAGUAAAAUUGUUUUCUUGAUUUGUUUAUUCUCCAAGUCAAUAAUUGUAAUACAUUGUUCCCUCGAACUACCAGAUGUAACAGCCAAUGUAUUGUCCUUUCUGUUGUACACUAUAUCGAACGCGUUACAGGGCAUCUUCAGUUCAAAGUUUUUUUAAUCCUUUCAUGUAAAAUACAGUUACCUUACACUCCGAGUAGGAAGUAAAUGCCAUUCUACCAUCUGGCAACAUGCAACAUCCGUAGAUUGAGUUUCCUUGAGUCGUGAUGGUCUGUUCUUUUGUUAACCUAAUAUUUUCAAUGGAUCUUGAUUGAACAGUCGGUACCAUCAUUUGGGCUUGUUAGGCCUUUUUCCUAGUCAGAACUAUAUCGCAAGAUUUAGCCUCAGUACGCACUUCUUCAAAACUUAUGAUAUCGGACAUGAUAUUCUCGAUAGAGGUGUUGAUCUUAUAUGAAAGAGAAGUUUGAUUGAAAUUUCUGCCUUCUUCAAGCGACUGAAGGAAUUGAUUUUUGUUAAGGACGUACUAUUUGCUUCAUUGAAAGAAAGACUUGAAGGUCCGUUGCAUGUUGCUUGAUGUUCAUAAUGUUUCUCUGUCAUUUUGCUAUUUCUGUUUCCUUCUUUUCUAAUGUUUACAAAAGCUGACAAAUUUUGGAGUUUUCUUUUUCCUCUUCCGCAUAGAUUUUUUUAAUUAAAUCUUCUUGUAGCUUGUCGAUAUGGUUGUUGAUCUUUAUUCUGGUAUUCUUUAUUUCUGUUUCUAUACCAUUUCUACUUUCUUUGAAUUUUGCCAGAUUGUCCUGUUGAUUUUGGCGAAUUUUUCUGUAGAUUUUCUGCUAGUACUUCAACUAAUGUUUCCUCUAUUUCGCACAUGGCAUUGGAGGUUUUGACAUUGUGAAUAACGUCAUAUAAUUCGACUAAAUCUCGGCAUUCUUUAUGGUUUCCCACGACACAUUUGCCGCAGCAGGGAAAUUGAUGCUUUUGGCAAUACAUUUGAUACUCUUUAUCAUGUUUAGUACAGUACUGAGUAAUUUUGAGUAUAUCAGCUGGUAAUUUCUGAUAUUCAUUAAAAGGUAUCAAGGUUUAACAAGCUGUGAUGUUCUUUUCAUUCUGUACAUAAUCCCUCGUCACAUUCUGUACACCAGACUAUGUGUGCUUUGGUGAUUUGACGAAUGCCACAAAAACCACAGCUCUGAGAUGAUGUUGCCAUUAAACACUACAAGUAACAAUACCUGAUUUAAAGGUUUUAAACAACAACACCCAAUCACCAUCACACAUCUAACGUGGUGACUUAAUUUAGUUUACUGUCGAAAUACGUGUUUCUCUUUGGGUACUCCGGUUUCCUUUAUCAAUUAAAACAGGUUUGAAUCAUAAUAUAGUCAUGCGUAAUGUGGCAUCAAAAACCAAUAGUCAAUCAAUCAGUCAAUACAAUAUUUAUUUAAAAUUCGGAAUUAUGCUCAUCUAUCUCAUUCUUCUGUUAUCUUAUAGUUCGUUUCUGUGUGUGUUGCAAUGCCGUUUUUUUUUUGCACUUUGGUAUUUCUGUUGUUUUGUGGUUUUCCUCUUAUAUUUGAUGUAUUUCCCUCAGUUUUAGUUUGUAGCCCGGAUUUGUUUUCCUUCAAUCGAUUUAUAACUUUCGAACAGCGGCAUACUACUGUUGCCUUUAUAUAUCAUCGCUCAAAAUGAAAAUGAAAAUAAAAUCAAUUAAUUGCAAGUUGUGUAGCAUCCAGUGUCACAUAUUUGAUAGUACCAGGAUUAUAAUUUUAUACGCCAGACGCGCGUUUCGUCUACAUAAGACUCAUCAGUGACGCUCAUAUCAAAAUAGUUAAAAAGCCAAAAAAAUACAAAGUUGAAGAGCAUUGAGGACACAAAAUUUCCAAAAGUUGUGCCAAAUACGGCUAAGGUAAUCUACUCCUGGGGUAAGAAAAUCCUUAGUUUUUUGAAAAAUUCAAAAGUUUUGUAAACAGAAAAAUUAUAAAAAUGACCAUAUAAUUGAUAUUCAUGUCAACACCGAAGUGCUGACUACUGGGCUGGUGAUACCCUCGGGGACGAAACGUCCACCAGCAGGGGCAUCGACCCAGUGGUGUAAAUAGUUAUCAAAAGUACCAGGAUUAUAAUUUUAUACGCCUGACGCGCGUUUCGUCUACAUAAGACUCAUCAGUGACGCUCAGAUCAAAAUAGUUAAAAAGCCAAACAAAUACAAAGUUGAAGAGCAUUGAGGACACAAAAUUGAGGACCCAAAAUUUGAAAUUAAUAAAAUCGGGCAUUUAACUUUUUAUAAAAGAUAGUCGAAAUGUAUAUAAAGAAAUUAAUCUAGAUUUGAUUUAGAUAUAAAGUUUAGUAUAUUAGGGUCACAGAUACAGCGAUUGUUCGUUUGAAACAUUUAUCGUAAUGGGUAAGCAACCACAACAGUUUAGUUUUGAUUUUAGACUGAUACAAGCCAGCUAUUUUCAUCAUUUAUGUGAUUAGAAUUGGAUAAUAGUGAUAUAUUUAAUCAAUUACAAAUAAAUAUACUGAUAAACCUUUUACAUCGCCACACUUAAUAAUUGCAUGUUACAUAUAGGGGUGGUUUUGCAAAAGGUUAUUAGGUUCUUAUGUUACAGGACAAAGAUAUCUUAAAAAAAGUAACCUUGCUGUAGUAAACAAAUACAUUAAUUAUUGAAUCGUAUAUACCUAUAUGGAGUUAUUUUCUUUCAUACCGAUAGGUCAUUCUUUCGAAGAAUCAACCCGGACGAUACCAUGUUUCAAAAAAAAUAUGGCUCAAGGCAUAUAAUUAACUUCAACAUUUAAUUCGUUUGAUAGUUUGUUGUUGUCAAUUGUGGAAUUUAUUUGUUAAAGUUCCAUCUUUGAUAGAUUUAACACAAAAUCGCCAUUGACGCGAAUUUAAACUUUCAAAAAAAAUAAUGUGAAUUUUUGCUAAUUUAUCGCUACAGUAAAAGGAUAUAAUCAUAUAUGUGAGAUGAACAUCUUAUUGAUUCCAUUGAAUAGUAUCAUACUGUGACCUACAUGCAUUGAUAUUCGUUUUCGUGUUACACGUACAUGCAUCACGAGUUCCUACUCCGUACAUUUCGUCUAUAUUUUACUUUUUACUCUGUCAAAUGAUCAACAGAUAAAAUUUCUUAUAAUUCUAUUGAAUAACAGCCACGUAUCUCACAAUGGGGGUCGGGGAGUAUAGAAUUAAAUUAAAAAUUCAUUGCGAAAGGUGAAUUCAUGGUGUGUGCCCGACCCCCUUUUUUGUGAGAAAACCCUCUUAGGAAUUCAGUAUCCACCCUUUUACGAAAACUACACAUAGAAAAAACCCAUAGGACCCCUUUCCAUAAACUGUGUCGGUACAACAAAUUAUACUUACAAAGUGAGUUGUAUUCAUUUGUGUCUUACUUCCUGCAGUUACAGUAAUAACUUAAUUGAAUUUAGAUAAUACUGAUUUCAAACGUUUACAUUUAAAUUAAUUAGUGAGCUUUUAUUUAAUAGUUAUCCCACGAUGACGCGGUGUGUCAGUGUAAGAUCACCCCGAUGGCCGGAGGCCAGAGGGUGAUCUAACACUGACACACCAAGUCCGAGUGGGAUAACUAUUUUACAUCCCAGCUGUUUUAGAUUAGACGAAAAACCAUUUACAAUUCAUAAAAUCGAGUUAAGAACGCCUCACAACCAUUAUAAUAUACUUUAUACAUUACUAUAUGAUUUAUACCCUUUUUGACCCCCGAACACGAUGAGCAGAUAUCAAAUAAUGUCAACUCGCCCCACUGGCAAAUCGGCCCAACCUAUAUCGCCACUUUAUAAAAAAUAAUCGACCCACUCUUGUUUACCGACUCGCCCCACUUUUGAAGAAGUGUAAAAUCAAACUAAACAAUCACUGACAACUCACUUAUUAACGAAAAGGGUUUAAACCCCACUGAAAAAAGGUCUGACAACUCGCCCCACUUAUAAAAAUAUCUUGCUUCCUUUAAGUAUGUUAAAUUACUGACAGUUUGUAUCCAGUCGUCCUGGUGUAUUGGUUGUGUCGUGGCUUGAUAUGCUUAAGGUCUAGAGUUCGAAUCCUAGCAUAUACACUGGAUUUUUUCUACGUGAAUUUUGAUAGAUAGUCAUUUCCGUAUAAUUGUAUAUUUAAUUAUAAGUUUUAUAGUAGAUUUGACAUUCCCGCCAAAAUGUUACAGAACAAAGGAAAGCAUGCAUAGCAAAGAAACUCAAACUGGGGUGAUCUGGUAGGGGUGAUCCGGCUCAGAUCACCCCUGUUAGAACAAAGGAACUGGGAUGUAAUUCACAUGCUCACAUUCUUAAUGAGCCGUAGGAAGUAUUAAAACAUGAACGGAUCAGAAAGGAAUUUCUCACUAGUGCGAUCGGUAGACAAUAAUAUCUUUUUGACGGUAUAUAAGUCAGCUAAUGCAUAUUUUAGGGUUUUUACUUUAGUCGGGGUGUCAUGAUUGCCCAAUGAAGACCUCACUACGGUCGAUUCCACUGCUGGUGGACGUUUCGUCACCGAGGGUAUCACCAGCCCAGUAGUCAGCACUUCGGUGUUGACAUGAAUAUCAAUUAUAUAGUCAUUUAAAUAAAUUUCCUGUUGACAAAACUUUAGAUUUUUGAGAAAACCAAGGAUUUUCUUAUCCCAGGAAUAGAUUACGUUAACCGUAUUUGGCACAACUUUUUGGAAUUUCGGGUCCUCAAUGCUCUUCAACUUUUGUACUUGUUUGGCUUUAUAACCAUUUUAAUCUGAGCGUCACUGAUGAGUCCUAUGUAGACGAAACGCGCGUCUGGCGUAUUUAAUUAUAAUCCUGGUACCUUUGAUAACUAUUUACACCACUGGGUCGAUGCACUGCUGGUGGACGUUUCGUCCCCGAGGGUAUCACCAGCCCAGUAGUCAGCACUACGGUGUUGACAUGAAUAUCAAUUAUAUGCUCAUUUUUAUAGAUUUCUGUUGACAAAACUAAAGAUUUUUCGAUGAAAACAAGGAUAUUCUUAUUCCAAGAAUAGAUUACCUUAGCCGUAUUUGGCACAACUUUUUGGAAUUUCGGGUCCUCAAUGCCCUUCAACUUGGUACUUGUUUGGCUUAAUAACUAUUUUGAUCUGAGCGUCACUGAUGAGUAUUAUGUAGACGAAACGCGCGUCUGGCGCAUCAAAUUAUAAUCCUGGUACCUUUGAUAACUACUGACACCCCUCGGUGUGUUCUACGACAAGAUAAACCUUAAAUAUGCAUUAUCUAUAACAUAGUCAUGCAUUAAAACACUUUUAUUUUUCUUUUUGUCUAUUACGUAAUAGACAAAAACAAUUCUUAUGUACUAGUAGUAUAUGUACACAUUAAACAUGGGUUUACGGUUAUUUGCAUUAUUUUGUAGCUAUUUAUAUUAUGUUAAACUAAUUAAAAUACCAUUUGAUCAGAAAGGAUAUGUUAAAUGGUUAUACAUCUGUGAUUUGGACUUCCUUAUUUGGAGCUAUUCUUUUUGUUUUCAGUGCUAAACAUAUGAGAAUAUGUACCUGUAUAUCGAUAGCAAAGAUGCAUAUACGAUUAAAAGGGGGGCGAGAAAUAGCAAGGUAUCUUCAAAACGAUAAAAAGUGGAACGGGAAAUAGCAAGGUCUUAUCAACACGAUUAACAGGGGGAGAUACCGCAACUUUCGAAAAGUGAUUUUCCCGAGAUCUAUGGAUACAUAGACUCCAGUCAGUUGUUAUUCGAUUUUUUUACAUAGGGAGGAAGGGGCUUAUAUGUCAUGACUACAGACGGCAACACAUUACUAAGCAUCGAGUCCUGAAUAAUAUGCAUGAACUGUGUGCCACUGAACAUUAAGCGAACAACAACCAAUCAAUAUAAAACAUUCUAUAGAGGCACCGGUGUAUGGAUUAUCAUUCAAAUAAAUGUACUUUACAUUUUAACAUAUACUAAAACAACGUAUGCUUAUUCUGCUUUACAAGUAUAGAACAAUAAUCUGUGAAUAUUGUGAACUUAAAUAUGAAACUCCUCAACAUAAAAAUGAAAUAUUUAUGUGUUUUAUAUCGGAAUUGCAUUGCUAUAUGUACUAAGCAUGUUCAACGUACGUUCAAUAAAACGAUAUAUGCUUAUUCUCCUUUAACAAUACACAAUUACAGUUUACAUGGUGAACUUUGGAUAAGCCCCAGAAAAAGUUUAUACUUAGUACAGUUUGAAAUACAUCUAUAUAUGUUGUGUACAGUAUACUAUCAAUACAAUAGUUCCCUUUCAUGUAACAUUUUCAGUAAACUUUGAGUAUUUUAGACAAAGAGCGCCACACACACAAGGUUUAUAUAUCGAUACAACCACGAAAGAGGGUCACUGCAUCAGCUAGGGCUUCAAAAGGAGAUGGAUUACAGAAUAGAGAAUGUUGGGCUCAAAAUAUAGAAUAAAUUGACGAAAAAAUAGAGAAUAGUUAAAAAUGAGGUUCUUAAAUAUAAUUAGGCACAAUUAGAAUAAAAAUAGAAUAGAGAAAAAUGGUCUAAAGAACAAAAGCUCCCCUCGUGACCUCAGACCCUUAUAUCUUAAAAAUCAUCCAAGGUACGAUCAAUAUGUUUUGACUGCACACUACCAGACAGGGGAGUUGCACGCAUAUCAUGGUUGCAACAUGUUAAUUCAUUUAUUUUGUUCGUGUACUAAUAAACCUUAAAUAAUUCCAAGCGGGAUACGAUAUUUGUUUGUUUUCCUCACACCUCUGUUUCUAUCGUAGAUAACGGCGUAAAAUGAAAUUACAAAAAGGCUGCAUAUAUCAUUUUAUUUGAAUACUGUCUCACAAAUGUAAUAUUUUAAUCGUUAUCUCAAAGUUAAUACCACAAAAUGAAGUGCAGUCUUGUUAUAUUUUAAUCAAAUCAAUAUGACUGUUUUAGUAUAAGUUUAAAAAGACCGUCAACAGCACGAUAGACUACACCAAUAUGACCGAGAUAAAAGACUAAGACGUUCUUACUGUGGUUAAUAAACUCGUGCAUUUUUGACAGGUGCGAAUCCAGUAUUUGAUGUUUGAGGGGUCGGCGCCUCUAAGAAUUAGGAAAUAUAUUGAAUGCUAUAUUCAUGUUACUUUUACUAGAAAUUAUAUUUCCAUUAUUGUAUUGGGGGAGGGGGAGGGUGGUACUCAUCUGAAUCAAAGCCUGCAUUAUAAUGUAUUAAAUUUCCAGUACUAAUAAAGUAAAAUUAAGAAAUUUGAUUCGCUGAUGUUUCCCUGUAAUAGUGUUCUGUGGGUAGGUUCUUAACUUGAAGUAAGAUGUCAGACUUUGAACCGCAUUGAUGGCAUCACUGUGACAUUGAGAUCAAGAAAGCAAUUGUUUUAUUUUUGUGUGUGUAAAAACUUUAAAUAUUUUUACCUAUGAAAUGUGUUGUUUCUAUAUAAAUUUUGACCCACUGUUAUUAUUUUCCAUUAGUGCGGGUCAAAAUCUAUAAAGACUGUCGUAUGGAUAAGAUAAGACGACACAUUAAAUAAGUGAAAAAGGUACCAGAAAUCAUGAAAUAUUCACAAAAAGAAUUUUACCUUGACCAUUAUUUCUGUCCGUUAGUCAAAUAUUUCUAAACUGUUUGUAAUUUAUACGUGUUCCUGAGGUUCAAUUAAUAACUCAAGUCCACGAACAUUUAUAAAGUAUAUUUCCAAUGAAAGGUAUGACAACUGCUUUCGACAAAUCACAACAACAAUAAUUGUUGAAGUAUCAUCAUGUUUGGUUUUUUCAGUGACCCUUGCAAAAAUUGUUGUCUUGUUCAUUGAAAACAAAAUAAUUUCCGAUAUCAAGUCGUCAUUGUCAUCGUCACAGUCAUCGUCAUUUUUUUGUCGUCGUCGUCGUUGUCAUCAUCGUCGUCGUCGCGAUGUCGAUUUCAUCAUCGUCACGACGUCCACUUCAUCAUUAUCACCUGAAACCGUUGUUCUAUAAAGAAUAUUAUUGGUUUCCAUUUAAACCGAUGUUGUUGUUUUUAAUAAUGAUAAGUAUUAACCUAUACUCGUGAAUACAAAUCUUCAAAUUUUAAGUAUAAAACAAUCCAUAUAAAAUGGUUUUCAGUCAUUCCACUUUUGCUUAAUUUGUUUUUGGUCAAUAUAUCGGAGGUAAUGGCGGAUUGUGCGUUUCUCGAAUGGAAUUAUCAUCUUUGCCCUCAGCACUUUACAUGAUGUCAACAUGAUGGGGAGUGCGGGAGAUUCUUCUUACCCUUUUUACAGGACUAUUUGAUUUUGUCUUCGUACGGUUCUUACGCGCAAUGUGAUCUUUUGACGGUUUCUUUUCAAUAUAGGAAGGUUCGAGAUCGAAUCUGCGUUGAUUAUAAUAAAUUUUGACUGGUUUUAUUACUUUUUGGGUAUUAACCAUGGGUGGCAGCUCCCGUGUCAUUUUCAACAGCGAUGAAACAUAAUUUUUAUUAUAUUUGGCUUCCAGACAUGAUUGUGGCCUUUUCUUUAUUGCAUGACCUUCAAUCUUAAAUGAAUUUCUUCUGUGCUUUUCUGACUGGGAGUCGACGAUAUUCUAGGUAGCGGAGCACCACGUGGAAAUGACAGACGACAAUUACCUUCCGGUUUGAUUUGUUCAGUAGGAUUUUCAGAAACUACAACAGCAGCAGAUUUCUGAUCUUUAAGUUUUCCCCAAUCGGUUAUUAGACGAGUUUCCAGUGUUAGCUAUAGUCUCGUUACAAGAAAUCUCAUGAUUGGUUGAGUUUUCAACAAGGCAAUGAUUGUCAGACAUCUUGUGGUCAGGAUUUUUUUAAUUGUGUUGAAUUGUCAAUUUCAUGCGUCUCGAGACUCAGACUUUCUGGCUCGAUUCGUCUCUGAAUUGCAAAAAAUAGUGCCAAUUUCAAUAGACUUCGGACGACAAGGAAUUUCUUUGAGGUUCGUGGGUGGUUGUUUAAUAAGGUCGCUAGUCUUAUCUGAAUAUGAGGUCAGCGAACAUGGAUUUUCCAAUAUGUUUGAUUCAGCUUGAGGUAUUUUGAUUUUUGGUUUGUUUUGUUUGUUUGGUAAAGAAUCGAUAUCAACUACAACAGAAGUUGUAUUGCAAGAAGUUUCUAAUUUGGACGAUUCCUUCUGCGUAAACCUAUUGUCCCUGGCAAUGGGUUCUGAUUGAGCAGGACAUUUUGGCUAAGAUUUUCCGACGAAUGUUGUAAAUAGUUUGUUAUCUACAAUAGAAACAGGAUCAAAUGGACACUCUGUCUCUGUUUGCCUUUUCACUAUACAUUGCUCGUCGUUGAGGGUCUCUUCUGGUACCUUCUGUUUACAAUUAGCUUCGUCUGGAGCCGACAAAGAGCGACAAAUGUUUUUCGUUAUUGAUAUUUCUUUUUGCAAACAAGGGUCGGAGUCCUCCACGGAUUGCGCGUAACUUUCGUACGGGGUUAAUUUUCUGUUUACAAAAUAAUCAAUUAACUUCAAAACUAUUGGAAGCUGGUGACUUUUCCGAAUGUCCAGUUUUAGUUAAAUCACCAUCAGAUUUACAUAUCAAUCCGGAUUUUGAAACUUUAUAAGUCUUCCUGAUAAUAUUUGUUGAAAGUCUGCGACUUCGUGUAAGUAAUGACAGUGAUGAACGAGGUCUUAGAAUUUUUUGAGCUUCGUUUAUUCGGCUCAAUACUGGGACUCCUAACAUAUGCUUAAAAGGAAAAUCAUCUUUUCGUGUUUUGCUGAAGCGUUUUCGAAGGCAGCAGUACAGUUUGUUAAGACAUUCUUGUCUGCUUACUGGGAUGAACACGUUACAGUCCCUCUGUAUACAAUUUUGGAAUUUCUUUGCAAGGGAUUCAACGUCACUUUUACAAUUUUGAAGGUGAUUUAUUUAAGCCCGAUAGCGAGGACAAACUGCUGUCUUUCCUUGUCAACUCGACGAGCCUGUUUUCUCCCUGGUUCAUAAGUUCUAUUUCCUUGUUAAUGUCUUGAACAUUUUCCUCACUAAGAUUUUUCCAAUGCAAGAGAAGUCUGAAAUGAAUAACUCUAAAUCAAUAUUAUAGAAAAAUAAACGUAUUAAUCUGAAGAACCACGGUUAAUUUCAUUGUUCGUACCCCAAAAUGAAAAUAACGCCAAGUCAUUUUCCAAUGUUUAUGACAUUUUUAACCGAUCACGACGUUUUGGUGUGCACUUUUAAAAUUAUUAGUCGUAGAAGUCUAUGCCAUUUUUUCUCCGGGGGACACAUGUCUUUUUGGCAAUGGUACCACAUCGUCUUAUUUUUAUAUUAUAUAUUUAGGAUUAUAUAUGGGAAAUGUACUGCAAUUUUAUAUCAUUAGAAAGAAAAUUGCCGAUAUGAUUUUCAACCAUUCCUAGAUAUAGAUCUUGGAGUUUGCUUUCAGAUAAUCAAAAGAAAAACUGGGGGCCUCAGUUCUUAUUUUCUUGUUAGGUUUAUUUUUAGAGUAUUUCGAGUAUGCUAUUUCAAAAGACUAAACUAUAUAAAUGAUGUUCCCUUUAAAAAUCAAAGCGUACUAUUUUAUCAGUCGACCAAACAAGUUAUCAUCUUUUUAAAAAAGUGAUAACCACAAUACAAAUAAAAAAGACUCUUGAAUCGUCGUAAUAAAACCGCGUUCUUCUGUAAUUUCUAGUAAAUGAUGCCAUAUAUAUGGAGCAAGAUAUACUUACCUUUCCGGUUCAACAGAAAUCACAUCCGUGUGGAUUCGUGGAUUUAGUUUUCUAUGUCGUGUUUUGAAUAUUGUUGUUUGUAUUUUGGUCAUUUCCAAUUUAUCAUUUCUGACUUAUGAGUUUGAAAGCCGUUUUGGUAUCUUUCGCCUCUCUUCGGUAAAUUUUUAGACGCGGUGCUUUGCAUUGAUAUUAAAGAUAGUGGAUUACUCCCUGCCUUCUUUACAUAAAGUAACUUACUGAUACUCAAUUCUAGUUGGUUCUUCCACUCUUUUUUCGGUUUAGAGUUAGUGUUUGUGUUAGGGUAAGUUAAACUUAUUCUUUGAUUUAUAUAUAUGUUAACCCACAGAACCAAGUGAAAAAAUGCUGAAAUGUGUACUUACAUUUGUAAAACCUUCAAACAAGAAAGUUCUCAAAUUGACCAAAUGCACUUACCGCCGUAUUCACAGUCUUGUUGCACACGGUUUUGUGAAUAAUCGUGAGACAUAUUUAUUUAGGCUGGCAAAAAUCUACACACCGCUGUUUAUUAUGUUAAAAAUACGCGAAAUUACGUUAUGUACAGCAUGCGGAUAUUAGCGCGCUUUUCGUCUGCCUGUUACAUAAGACUGGUUCCCGAGUGUUUAUGAUAAGUUUGACAGUACUUUUGUUAAUAUUUGUAUAUUACGACGGUGUACUGAAUAUUUCACGAAGGUAGCUAACUUCCAGUUAGAUACACUUGUUACCUACAAAAAGAAACAAUAGAUAAUAUACAGACUUACCGGUAAAAAAACAACAAAAUCAAUUUUUCCGAAUUAUGAGGACUGUUUUUUCCGGAUUUUUUUUAAAUCUAUUUUUGCAUUUUUCUAUAAAUUGUCAAAUUGAAGCUAUCCAGUGAACAAUAAGACGCAUCAAGCAAGCAAAAAAUAAGACGUACCAAGCUGAGCUCCCAAGCUAGCAGAAAAUAAGAAUAUCAAGAUGGCUACCAAUUUAUAGCUAGGGACCAAUAAGAAAAAAAGCGCGUAAAAUUUGAUGACAAUAAUUCCCAGUAGGAAGACGAAAUAUAAUACAGUUCAUCAAAUACAACUUUAUUAUUUAUUUAUUUAUAGAAUCAAAUUGAGAAUGGAAAUGGAAAAUGUGUCAAAGAGAAAACAACCCGACCAUAGAAUAGACAACAGCAGAUGAUCACCAACAGGUCUUCAAUGCAGCGAAAUAGAAGCCAACAUAAUACUUUUAACCCUCUUGCUGCCGGAGGGACACAUAUGUCCAUGUUUUAAUUUAUGCAAGUUUCUCAUCAUUGCUGUAUUCUUUCAAAAUAAAAGACCGAACAUUAAAACAUGUUAUAUGUUUCUACAAUGGUUCUCAAACAGGAUUUUCAAGAGCUUAUUUCGUAAUUUUUGACGCUUUUUAGUAUUCUUUGCUUUGAAUCUUUCUUGAUUUUUCUGCAUAAAUAAUAAUGAAAUAAUUAUUAAAGAUAGAUUACACCCAGAGCUAUGGAUUACACCUAUUUCGUAGAACGACAAAAUAAAAUAAUUUUAUUUCUACGGUUUUAAAAAGAUAUAUAGAGAGAUUUUGGAACGUCAAGAAAAAUACCCAAUUUAAAAUUUGAAGCUUUUACCUGCUACAAUUUAAAAGUCUGCAUUUUUAUGUUUGUUAUACAUUACCAUUUUGAUGAUUAACAGAUAUACCAAAACUAGAUAAACAUAAAAUUGAAAAUGGAAAUGGGGAAUGUGUUAAAGAGACAACAACCCGACCAAAGACCAGAUAACAUCCGAAAGCCACCAAUGGGUCUUCAAAGCAGCGAGAAAUUCCCGCACUGUAGGCGUGCUUCAGCUGGCUCCUAAACAGCAUGUUAUUGAUAUUGAUUAGAAGUGACAAAAAGGGUUGAAUUACAAUUAAAAUUUAAAAUUUAGUUUUACACUGGAACGAUAAGAGGGAAACAGUCUGAUUGUCAAAAGAAUCGCGUUUAUCUUAAAUCGCAAUGUAAGCUGUGCAGUACAUGCAAGGCUUCAAAAGAGAUAAUAAUAAAAAGAUUGAUAUUAAUUUAAUAUUGGUAACUAAUCACGGUGCAGGAUCUGCUUACCCUUUUGCGCCUGAUACCAACCCCAGUUUUUUUUCAUGAGGUUCGUAUUGCACAGUCUUUAUUAUUCGAUGUUGUGUUUUUUUUUUUAUACUGAUGUCUUUUUUUUUGCCAUGGCUAUGUCAGUUUAUUUUUGUACUUAUGAGCUUGCAUUUCCAUUUGAUAUCAUUCGCCUUUCUUGAAUUGACACUGAAUUUCAAAAGACACAACGCUACAAAGAAAAGGGAUAGAAGGGGAUAAAAACAAAUGUUCUCUAACGUAACCCUUCAAUAAGAUAAGCAAUAAAAAAAAAUAUGUACCCUAGUCUCAAGUGAAAAGUACUGUUAUUGAUUGCUAUUGGAAAAGAUCUAGAAGGGUAUAUUUUCGGAAGGCCUUCAAUAUAGGUCCAAAAUUUGGGUCAGUGUUUAUCACGUGUCUGGUUAGGCCAAAACCUUAUAGCGACUAAGAUGAUUGUCCCGCCUUUUUAAUUUAUACGUGUUCAAAUCGUACCGUUCAAUGCUUUUUAUAUGACCUAAAAGUUUGACUCAACUUCAAAUUCAUUUUUUAUAAGUACAGUACCCAAACACAGGUGAAUAAAAUCAUAGCAAAAUUAGUACAGAUAUAUAAUAUAAAAACUUAAAUUCAGCAUUUCAGACGACUUAUUGAUUGAUAGCAUCACUAUCAUAAACAUAAUAUCUAAUAUAAAGAGGAAUAACUCUAUAAUCUUUCUUACACAGUGAAAGAUUUUAUGACAAAAACUAAUGUAACAAGUGUGGACACAGAUCAGUGUGGAUAGUAAUUGUCAAAUUAUUGUUAUACUAAUAGUAUGUUUGACAGUGGUUUCUCUGCAGAAACAUGUAUUCUGGUUGAGCAUCCACCAGAUGUUUUAUGAACAUUUUUCUAAUAGGGUUCUAUGUCAAACUGUGUUCCCGAUGAGCAAAAACUCAAAAUUUGCAUUAUGCAGGGUUCGACAUUUGGUUUUUUUUAAGGACAAGUGACCAUCAUAUAUAUCUUAUCAUAAAAGAUAUUCAAUGCAAUCUUUAACGUACAGCAUAAGUCUUAUAGACCUAUUUUUAUAUAUGAAGUCCUUGGUCCAUUUGGAGGAACUGAUGUAUUCCAACCUUUUAAAGUAUUUUGUAUGACAAAUGUUCAUACUCUAUCAAAUAAUGCUUACCAGACAUACACAUAUAGCUUCUUCCAACUCCUUUUUUCUUAAAUAACAAUUUUUACUCUCAGAUUUAAGGUUAUUUUCUUUAGAACCAUGAGUGAUGGAAAGGGAAUGCGAAAAUGGAAAUAUGAUUUGGGUCCAAUGACUAUCAAGGACACACAAUAACACAUAGAACAACACAGAAAACCAAAGACUCAGCCACACGAACCCCAUCAAAAACUGGGGGUGAUAUUAGGUUCUCCAGAAGGAUUAGCAGAUCCUGUUCCACAUAUGGCAUCCGUCGUGGUGCUAAUGUUAGUACAAACCCAGCGAUAAGUCUAAUUUGAGUAUAAUUUGAUACGUCAAAUACGAGAAAAAGGGGAUGACAUUUCGAAAUCUAUGUCUUGAUUUACGUUCAUAAUUGUUUUGAUUUUUUGAUUUUUAUGAGCAUACAGGCCUGUGGAUCGACUCGACCAAAGGGCAGAAAACAGCUCAUGGCCACCAUUGCGUCCAAAGUCAGUGGCUUCUAGUAUUUGUUAGUCUUGUAUGUUAUUUUUUAAAUUUUAGUUCAUUUAUCUAUCAGAAAAAUACGCAAGAGAAAAAUAUGUUUUCAAAUUGUGCUACAGACAUUAUUUACUUAUCAUAAAAAAGUUUCAAAACUGAAGACAAUAUUUUGGUCAUAGGCAAGCUCUCUCUAUAUUUCAUCUAUACAUGAAUUUUGCAAAAAUAAUGUGAAAUAUGUUUACUUUUCUGAAGACACAAAUCCUAGAAUAAAGGACGUUUUCUAAUGUGAAAGUUUGUCAUAAUCAGUGGCGGAUCCAGAAAUUUUCGUAAGAGAGGGCCCGCUCCAGUCACGCUUCAGUGAUUCCCUAUAUAAGCAACCAAUUUUUUUUCCCAAAAAGGGGGGGGGGCGGGCCCCCUGCCCUCCCUAAAUCCGCCUCUGAUAAUUAUUAAAGCUUUAUGUUUUUACAAAGCAAUAAAUAUCUUUAAUAUCUAUUUAUUACAGUUUAUACUUUAUUACCAAAGAUUAUAUAAACUAUAGGUACACAUUUGAAUUACAUCAGUCAUACAUAAAAUACAUACAUAAACACAAACUAUGUGACAGAAUAGCAGAAGGUGUUGUAAUUAUAAAUACAUACUAUAAUAACAUAUCGAUUCUAAGCUUAAAAGAUCUAAAUAUAAAUUAACCUAAAUUACACAGCUCUUCUACAUUGUUUGUACUUAUUAGUCUAAUAAAUUUAUCGAUGUUUUUUCCAAUAAUAUCGAUUAAUAUAAAAUGUUCGAAAAUCUUGAAAAAAUGGACAUUUGAGGGAGGAAAUCAAAGUCAUCCUCAAUAUCUUUAUUUUUGAAAAAUACAUAUUACAUAAAAUCUUCCAUUUUCUCUAGCUAAGUUGUUGCUACUUAAUCUUAUUUUUGUUAUACAUGUUUUGUAAACAUUUGGAAUUGGUUUGAUAAAUAAAAUAUUUAACAUGUAUUUAUAAUUAGAACAUAUUCGAGAAGUAUGCAACCAAGGAUUUGUAUACUAAUCUUACUAUACAAAUCCUUGAUGCAACUAAGCAUCAAAUUCUUGUUUUAGACAUUCAUACAAACGUUGCUUUAUGACAAUAAAAAUAUUCAUCAGGCUAGUCUGAAAAUAAGGUUUUGGAUAUACCAUACAACACCUAAACCAAUAAUAAACAGCUCAUUAUCUAUAAAAUAUAACCAGUUACAACUAUUAUUUGGACAUCUCUCUAAUUCGCAAUAUAAGCAGUUAUAACAGUUUUUCAAUAUACAGCUUGAAGCAUUCAGCAAUUUAAACCAAAAAUUGAAAAUCUUGCAUUUGCUUGUGAAGAAAAGAUAAAAUCUACCUCGUUCUUGAUAUAUCAUAACAUUGUCAGUAGACAAUUUAAAAUCAAGUUUAUUCUUACAUAUUCUACUUGCAUAACUCACUAAAGAAUUGAUAUAUGUGAUAACAAAGUGUCAUAGUUUAAGUCCAUUUUUUUACAUUUCUUCUUAAAGCAAUUAUUGCUUUUCUACCUUGGUCAAACAUUUCUGUUGUAACAUAUUAUAUUUACCAUUAUAAUUUAAAAGUUCAUCAAGGUAGGUAAAAUCAUCAACAAUUUCAUUGUUUUUACUUUGAUUAUACCAUUUCUCAUCAACAUGAACUCUGCCACCUUUUCUAUAAAAUACUACAAUUUCAAUUUUAUUAAUAUGUAUUGAUACACGAAAUGGAAACACAAGUAAUGAAUUAAAUUUUCAUAGAAUUAAUAUUUUGAAGGACAAUUAUUCCGUUAAAACUGAUUGAUUAUACGAAUAUGACAAAAAUGCUUACGGGCACUAACAAGACAGUUUGCAAGGUACAAUGUGACAUUAGUCAUUUAAAUAAUGUAGGAUGUCAUUACGAACUCAUCAAGACCAUCGCUUAUAUAAAGAUUUGCUAUGUAGACAAGAGAGUGCUUACAACACAAUUUUACAUAUAUUGAUUUAUUUCAGAGCGGUGAAACUACAGUAAAAAUAGAAGAUGGGUUCUAAUUUUCGACCAUGUAUAUACAUAACAGAUAACAUUUUUGUUAAAAUCUGGGGCCUAUGUGGUUGAGUGGUCCAAGUAUUUAAUCUACUUUGAGGUUGUGAGUUUGCAAACUGUCAGUGACAGGUGCGUUCGAUUCCGAUUGCAAGUGACUAUGAUUGUUAUAUUUCAUGCCGGAUGUCAGGAAACUUUCUUAACCAACAACAACUGACCACUGCGAUAUAGCAAAUAGUGCUAAACGUGGCCUUUAAUCCCAAAACCAAUAAAUCAAUCAAUCAAUCAUGCAAAUCAUUCUAGUAUUGGAGGUAAAUACAGCGCCAACCGUACCAAACAGUAGGUCGGACGGACGAAUUAUGGUCGAACACAGUGACGGAAUUAUUUAUAUUUUAUAUGUUCCACGCAUUGCGUUAUCUAAGGUACAAUUGUUAUAUCAGUUGAUAUAAAUGAAAAUAUAUUCUAAAAUGAUUUGAUGCUCUGUCGUGUUUCUUCAUUUCUUGACUUACUCAAUGUAUAAGCAUGCAUAUAAAAGUCAAUGUUAAAGGUUAACGACCAACAUCUAUUUUCUAAACUCUUGUUUCUGUAACAAAAAAGAACACGUUGAAAAUGUCUAUACUAUGAGCUUAACAACUACAUUUGAUUAAAUGCAUAAUUUUGUUUUACAAACACACUAAAAAAAUAUAUAUAACAGACGAAGUUGGUUUCUGAAUUCAUGUUCAUUUACAUAUUUCACAUUAUGACCGCAAGAGCAAAUAGUUUAAACUGUAUUAAAUUUUGUAACAUUGAACAAAUAAGCCGUGUUGUUGUUGUUGUUCGCAAUUAGCAACUGAUUGUUUGGUUCAUAAUAAUGGAGUGUAAUAGGCUUACUAAGAUCAUCAUCUGCUGCCUGUAAUUCUCUAUGCUGUUUUCCAUCAGUUGAGAUAACUAUUAAAUUUUGUGAUAUAUACCCCACCACGUACACAUUACCAUCACCAUCGACAUCAAUACCACGAGGAUCCUUCAGAACGCUUUCAUUGAAGAAUGUCCAUUGUAUUUCACCUUGUAGAUUAUAACAUGUCACGGUAUUUGUUUUAUUGUUUGUAUGAUAUAUGUUGUCUUUAAAAGUUGCCAAGUAACAUCGAGCGGCUGUUUGGCAAGGUAAUCUAUCUGUAAUGAUGGACUCAUCGUUUAAAUGUAUCAUGUGUAUACCUUUUUCCAAACCGGAAUAAAUCAAUUGGUUAUCUUUCAAUGCUAUUCCAUAAUUGUACGAAUCUAGUGGAAUGCUUUUCAUUAUGUUUUUGCUCACAAGAUCUAUAAUGUAAAUGCAUUUAUUCUGCGAAGCACCAGAUGUACCUGCCAAUGUAUUGUUCUGAUUGAUAUAUACUAUAUCAAAUACUGCACUUGGCAUGUCAAUCUCAAAUUCUUUUAAGCCUUUACUGUUCAACACUUGUACUGUUUUUUUAUUCAGGUAAGAAAAUGCCAAUUUACCGUCUGGGAGCAUGCAGCAUCCGGAAAUGUCUUCUUCUCCAGUUGUGAUGCUAUUGUGUUUCGUUAGCUUGAUAUUUGCAAUGGACCUAGUUUGUUUUAUUGGCACAUGUAAUAUCAUUUGGGCUUGUUUGGUCUUUUUCUUAAACAGAACAAUAUUGUAAGGUUUAGAUUCAAUAUUAAACUUCUCCGAAAGUUUGUAUAUCAAACAUGAUAUUCUGAAUAGUAGUGUCGAUUCUAUAUCUAAUAGAAUGUUGUUCCGUGCUUUCUCCAAGAGACUGCAUGAUUUUAUCUUUGCUGUUGACGUACUCUUCUAUUUGCUUCAUUGAUAGGAACACGUGAAGAUCCGUUUUGUGUUGUCUGAUGUUUAAAAUAUUUGUCUGGUAAGUGGUUAUUUCUUUUUCUUUCUUUUAAUUUCCAACAAUGACAAUAAAAAACAUACUUCAAAGUUUUCUUGUUCUUCGAGCGCUUGGAGUUUUUUUCAUAAAGUCUUCUUGUAGUUUGUCGAUAUGGUUGUUGACGUUUGUUCUGGUCUUCAAUACUUCUUCUUCAAUUUCCUUUCUUCUUUUAUUAAAUGACGUCAGAUUUUUCUGUUGAUGCUGGCGAACUUUCUGUAUAUUAUCUGCUAGUUCAACUAAUGUUUUCUCUAAUUCGCACUGGGCAUAGGAGGUUUUGGCAUUUUGAGUAAAGUCAUCUAAUUCGGCGAUAUUUUGGCAUUCAUUGUGGCUUUCAACGAUACAUUUGUCGCAGCAGGGACAUUCAUGUUUCUGGCAAUACAAUCGAUAAUUUUCAUUGUGUUUGGUACAGUAUUGAGAAAUGUUUAGUACAUCAAUUGGUAGAUUCUGAAAUUUGGCAACAUGUGUCACAGUAUGAAUUUGGAACGCCUUAGACAAACUAUGAUGCUCCUCGCAUUCUUUACACAGACUCUCGUCACAUUCUGUACACCAGACAAUGGAUGGUUUUUUGAUGUGACGGAGUUCACAAAUACCACAGCAAUUAGAAGAUGUCGCUAUUUAUCUCAAACUACAAAUAAAAAUAUGUAUUAAUGUUCAUGAAUUAAAGUUUAUGUUAGUGUUAAUAUUGUUGCAGUUGCCUUUUGUUACGUUAUCGCUUACUCUUGACUUAUUUAUUGAAGUCUGUAAACUGUUAAAUUGUAGUGUUUUGAAAGUGUACUGUAUUUGAUAAAUCAAUCAUAAGGUCACUCCUCCCCAUUUUUGUCUUAAGUUAUCAAGAAAUUUUUCUUAGUAACAGUUAUAAAUAUUGUAAAGGAAAUAGAUAUACAUGGUUUUUUUUUGUAACAAUUUUAUUUGUAUUUAUUGAAAUAUUUCAACUUAAUGUUACCAUCAUUUAAAAAUAGACUUAUUAUACGCAGAUAGAUUCACUUUCUUGAUUUGUCACACAGGUUUAUAUUUAUGCACAUCUUUUUAACUGGAACAUAUUUAGACGUACACGAGCUGCACAUCAAUUCCAUCUUAACAUUAUAUUACAUUAUUUUUCACUGUAAGAUAGUUGGUAAUGUUGUGGAUAUGACAGUUGUCGUUAACAUUCUAAUAUAUUCAGUGCUGGAGAUGUCCCACAAUUACCAAUACUUAGUAUGGUGAAAUGGAUAGCUGGUGUGUUUUUAUUGGUAUCUAGUUCAAUUAUCGUUGUUUAAAUGUUUUUAUUAAAUAAAUAAACAAUGUGUACUAGUCAUCAUCAUCAUCAUCAUCAUCAUCAUCAUCAUCAUCAUCAUCAUCAUCAUCAUCAUCAUCAUCAUCAUCAUCAUCAGCAUCGACAUCAUCGUCAUGAUCAUGGAAUCUAGUGUGACAAACCAAUGAAGUGAAUCUCUCUGCGUUUCUAAAUGAUGGUACCAUGACGUUGAAAUAUUCAUCGCAUUAUCUUUAACUUAUUAUGUAUAAUUUCUGAGGUACUUCCUUAAUCAAAUUCCUAGCAUAUUCACUGGUCUGCUAACCAGAUCAACCAUAUGUUAUAUGUUAUAUGGACGUUUCGUCCGCAGAACCACCCUUUAUUGUCCACACACAUAAAUAGCUUUCAAAUUAUAUUCCUGCAAUCUUUGCUUAAUCUCCUUUCAUAAAAAAUAUAGUCGACCAUGUGAAUUUGAAACAACAAGCGCUUUUAAAUUUCGGUAUAGCCAUAGAAAAUCAUUAAUAGAAUAGUUUUAGUUACAACUGUAUACGAUAGACGUUUAAUGCAAUUGCACUUCAAACCAUGAAAGAUUAGCUGAUCAUAAAUAUUACAUUUUCAUACCAGGCCUGAAUUGUUUGACUCUUUUGAAAACCAGUUUUGACCUGGGGUAGAGGGAAACUUUUGUUUUGUAGAUAGUCUUUCUCGAUUCUGUAUUUCUUUUGCCAAUUAUACACUAUUAUCUAUAGUAUGGCACACCAUUACUCCUCAUUAUUUUUUUCUAUUCUUUAAUUUUUUCCUUUAUUCUGCACUUAUUGUCCCAUUAUUUUCUGCUCUGUAAUACUCUUGUUCAUUUUAUAAACCUUCAACAUUUGUUUCGGUUUUCUCAUGUUAGGUUUUUAUCGUAAUUAACAUGUUUAACGGCUUAAGAAAACUGCAUAUAUUAUUUAACUUGGAAAAUAUCUCACUCAAAAUAAUUUACCAUUUGUUAUCUCAAACUUGAUACCACAAAUAUAAUGCAUUCUUUUUGUAUUUUAAUCAAUUCAAUAUGAACGUCUUAGUGUUUUUUGAAGAUUAUUACGUACAGUUUUGAUAUGACGAUUAUUUUCAUUUUAACCUUUUGCAUGCAGGCUAUUUUUUACCUUGUCAGUUAGAAUAUUCUACUCUUAGAGAUAAAUAUAGUCGACAUUUAAGACUUUUUCUCAAAACUUCAAUUUCUUUGACAUAUCUGAUAUUUGAACAAACCAAUUUCUGUAAAUAAACGCUAGCGGAUUUCUGUAAAAAUCUUUGGAAUAUUAGUAUCAUCUUUACAUACUUGUUCUUUAAAUGUGUGUAACAAUUCUUAAAAAAUAUUUUUUAUCAUUUGCUCAUCAACUUUCUGCUCAGACACUGGUGACGUGUUAUAUAAUAUACGUAGCAGCUGCAAGUUCUUGAAUACCGAUUGAGUUGGGAAAUGCAAAUAAAAAGUAAAAUUGAUAUAUUGCUGCUAAAAUAGGUGGAAUUUAUGAUUUCUGAGUGGAAAUCGUCUUCUUUGUCAUAUAUUCUAGUACUUAUAGAUGACUGAUAUGUCUUAUUCGAGGUACAAGCCUAAAAAUUAGACAAAGGGAGUUAUUUCUGUUGUUUCUAUAUAUUUUAGUUCUGAAGGAUGGAACACAAUCAGAAAAGUUUAGAUUGUAAAUUGAAAGAACAUCUCCAAUAUAUCUGAAUGAGAAAUUAAAUAAUUGAGUUUCAUUGUUCUUUUUUUCUGUUCGCAAGUGUUUGAAGGAACUCUAACUUAUGUGAAUAUAAGAAGAGGUCGGUAAUAAAGGGAAGAUAGUUUAUUUCAAUUGGAAUGCCGACAGUUUGUUGUAAAAUUCAACCAAUACAUUAUAUGUUGUCAAAACUGUAGUAUGCUGAUCACUUGUUCCUCUGUGUAGCAUGCUUUUCCUUUUUGUAUCCCAAAGCAAUAAGUCUAUAGCGUUACUACCAAAUUUAUAUUGGAAGGCAUUGUGGAUUAUUUACCUUAUACAAUAUUUAAAUUUUCACAUUGAAACUGAUGGUAUACAGGGUUGAAAAUGAAAAGGUUUGAAAGAAUUAGUUUGAGAGAAUUCUCGGGAUAUACUAUUUUCAAGAAGUUCUAUAGAGUCUACAAUCUACAAAUGGUUUAUACCCCUUAACAGUUUCACAGUAUUUCCUGCCUAAUCCGACACCUGAGUAUUCCAACAUCCUGCUUUAACCGACACAUUAUCUUUGUCCAAUAUUAUGCCUAUUCUUACAGAAAAAAAAAACAUGAGUAUUCCGACACACUGCUUUAUCCAACAUUUUUUUCUGAUUCCCCAAAUUGUCGGAUUACACAGGAUACAAUGUAUUUAAUGUACAAUGUAUUUUUUAAUAAACCAUUUAAAAUUUUCGAGCCAUUUUGUUAAUUUUUAUACAUGUUAUAUCAAGAAGAACUAAUCAUUAACUUAAUCUGAAAGAUAAUUGAGUUUUGAAAUAUUAAAUGAAAUAUAAAAACUACCUUUAAUUUGAAAUAUUCAAUUUCUUCUUGUUCACCAGAUUGAAUGUUUUUAACUGUGUGACUAUUUGGAAUAAGCAAGGUGUGUUUUUCGGUACAGCCAUGGAAAAAGAUAACAUGUAAGUUAAACAUAUAUUAUGUCAGAGUUAAACCCCUGCACAAAGUACGAUCAAUACAAUACACCAUUGUUGCUAAGUAUGACAAUGGGGAGCUAAAAGGAGGUCCUUCUUUUUGUACUUUAUUUGUCUAUGGAUUUUGUCACGAUUCGUAUUUAGAUUUUCCCUAUUAUACUCUUUUCUUUAUACUUUGGCACCAAAUUAUUCUUUAUUUUUAUCGUGGCCUUUUUCUUCCAUCUUUAUCUAGUAAUUUGAGUUUUUUCCAUUUUUCUAAAUUCCCUUAAUUUCAUCCAGAUCUUUAUUUAUGUUGAACAUUAAAAUAAACCUUUAUUACAUAAUUACACCCAAGCGGGUAAAAUGUAUGUUUUGUUUCCUCGUAUCAUAGUAUCUGUUGUUGCUAGCGGCUUGAAAAGAAAUCACGAAAAUAUAUCAUUGUAAUUGACGAAUAAAUCACCAAAAUUAACAAUGUAUUUUAUUCGUUAUCUCAAACUUGAUUCCACAAAAUAAAGUCCAGUCUUGUUUUAUUUUAAUAAAUUUAAUAUAACCGUCGUGGCGCUAGUUAAGGAGGACAUACAAUACAUGCAGAUCCUUUCCGACGUUGGCUUAUUUUCAAAGAAUAUCUUAGUACAAGAUAUAUUUCAACUCGUCAUUUCAAAUCUCUGUAAAUUUCUCUACCUGUUUGAACUACUUGUAGUGAUGAAGAAAGUCCAAAUUUUAGUCAUUUACUCAAAAUGUUUAUUUCUUGGACAUGUUGGACAUUUUAGAAAUUUCGGAAUAUCAUUUUUACAUAUUUAUGCUUUAAAUUCGUGCAACAAUAUUUUAAAUGAUAUAAUUAAAUUCAGUUUUCAUGAGAAUUUGCAUUGCAUUUGUUGCUUUAUAUUUACCUAAUUAAGAAACUGAUUUUUUUCAUAAAAAUUAAUCCAAAAUCUCUUCAUACUUAAUCAAGUCAAACGCAAUUUUUAAAAUGAUGUGUCAAUAUACUUGUUUAAACUUUUCAAGCCAAAGAUUUUGAGUCAUCAGUAAUUGCCUGUUUUCCAAAUACUCAAAAGGACACGACAAACAGGAGAUUUUUGCUUGUAUGACCAGCAGUUUUUGCCUGAAAUCUAACCUUUGAAGAGUGACAAUGCUUUAUGUUAUAAAUGACAUUUUAUAAAUCAAAUGAUUAAAAUUUAAAAAAUAUGUCAGUCGAAUUAUUAUAGCAGUAAUUAGGUUCUUGUUUAUUUACGUAUGUUCGUUCUUUGUUCUGUGAAAUAAAACACGAAAAAAAAUAUCCAAAAGAGUCUCUUUUUGAUAUUUUCAAAACAGAAAAAGUUUUCAUUAUUUUAGAUCAAAAGUGGAUGUUUUCAUUUUUUGUUCCAUAUUCAUCGAAAUUGAAAAAUGUCAAAAGAUCGCAAUCCACAAAGCAUUUACAGAUUUUUGUAGAGAAAAUAUACAGUCAGACUUAUUAAUUAAAAUGGUGUAAUGUAUAAAGCAAAGACUUUCAAGUUAAGAUAUAUAUUUUCCUCAAUAGCACAUCAGAUUUAUAAAUUCUAUUAUCAAAUGAAUUUGACAUUCAAAUUACAUUACAUUGUCAAAUUCUUUUAUAACAUGGAUUAGAUCUUUUUUAAAAAUUAAAUAUCGAUACAAAAUAUAUUAAAAUGCAGGUUGUAAGCUAACUCUCCCGGUCAAGAAAGAGCGUUUAUUAUUCCAUUGGAUACGCAGGACCAAUUCAAAGCCACUUUUCGAAUGGUGAAAAUCUAAUAUGAUUUAAAUUGAUUACUAACGUCCAUACGAGAAUUUAAAACGCAUAUUCAGCUCAAUAGUAUGUUAAAUUUGAUAUGAAGAAGGUAUUGAUGGUAUGAUACAAAACGUACCCGAUCUUAACAAAUAAAUGUUCAUUAGUUCAUGACUUUAAAAUUAUUCAAAAUAAAAUUAAAAAAAAAAACAUUAAACCUGUGCAAGCAGCGUUGAAAAUUGUGUUUGCUUUAUCUUUAAAUUUUGGUUUAAUAAAUACACACCGAAAUAAAAGAUUGAUCACACGGUAGACUAAACUUCAUUUAGUCGGAAGAUCGUUUCUAUACAUAUAACGUUAAAGGAUUAACAUCAUUUGGUUCUACAAUCAAAAUACAAAAAUCAAUGACUGGGACCAUCUGAAUUUCUGACCAACCCUUUUGCGACCAAAUGUAAUUAUGCUUGCUUUCAAUAACUGUGAGAUUUUUUUUGAAAGUAAACAUUUGUAUUGUUUAUAUCAGCGUGUUUGUUUUAAAUAUUUAUUUCAUGUUGUGACAAAUAUUGUAUUAAAGGCAACAGUACUAUUCCGAUGGUUGAAUGUCAUAUAUUUGGUACGGAGUUUCAUAUCACGGUAAACAAUAAAAAAUUAUGAAAUUGCAUCUGCUUCAAAAGGAUAAAAUACCAUCAUUAUCAUCGGUUAUUUAUUGUUCCCAUUUACUAAUUUAAAGAUGUUAUGAAUCUAUUGUUGAUCAUUGUUAUUUCAUUGGUGGUAGGAUGCAAUGCCGAUAUCCGCUGAAGUUAUUUCACAGCAGGGCCAUUUUAAAUUGGUUUUUCAAUUUUUUCCUGAAUUCCUGAAAUUCAUUUUCUCACAGCUAAUGUGUAAAAUAGCAUUGCUUAUUCAUAUACAGAUCAUCAUAUUAUAAACGACUAAAUAUAAAUAGACAAAAAACUAUAAAUUUAUCACCUUAUUGCCAAUUUUGAGAUCUUAUACUAAAUAUGUAGAAACAUAGAUAGGUGUCAGUAACCGACCGUGAGUACUCUUAAAUCUUUGUGCUUUUAAUGUGUGGAUCAAUGACUAUCCAUCCACAUUCACUAUGUGUAUUUGUUAGAUGUAUUCCUGUUUGUACCAAUCUGACGAGAUCAGCCUUUUGCAACCUUUUUUUAGUUUGUUCUUAUAUUGUACAUGGUUGGCGCCUUUAAGCCCGCCACAUUCUGAAUGUGGCUGUCCAAAGUCGGAAGACUAUAAUUCAGUGGUUGCUAUUUGUUGCUGUGUAAAAGAGGUUCGAAAGAUAUCAAAGGAACAGUCAAGCUCAUAGAUCGAAUAUAAACUGACAAUGCCAUGGAUAAAAAAGAGAAAAAAAUGACAAGUAAUAGUUCACAACCCACAACAUAGAAAACUAAAGACUAAGCAACACAAACCCCACUAAAAACUCUGAUCUAAAGAGCUCAGGGUAAGUAGAUCCUGCUCCACGUCUGUUAGCAGUCGUGUUGCUCAUUUUAUUACAAACACUGUAAUUAUUAGGUAACAUUCGUGAAAAGGGAAGGGGAUUGUAGUUACGAAACAAAGAACAUAUCCGAUUUCAUCUGUGAAACAGUUAUUCCAUAACGGACAACUUACUCGUGAUGCCGUCCGUAAAAUGUACGAAGGGAUGAUUGCAACUUCACCAUUUUGAUCUCUUGGUUUUAUAGCUUCCUUGUGAGCAGCAACCCUCUAUCAAGGAAACCAUGAGAGGUCCGUGAAUAUCGUAUCAAUUUGUAAAUAUAUAUUCUGUAUGCAGGAACUGCUGGAAUGUUGCUACAUAGAAAUGUAAAGUUCACAAUUGGAAAGCUGAAAUCAAUUCUUUUGUCGUAAAGUUUUGAAUUCAAUCGAAAACCCGUAACAUUUUCCAUUUUUUUUAACAUGAAAUAUGCCGUAAGUAUUCUCAGUGUAUAUAAAGUGCGAAUCCAGUCAGUUCAUUUUUACUGUUGUAUGCGAGUAUGUUCAUUGUAGAAUAAUGAUCAUGGGAAAACAUUAUUUGUUUACGUUUUGAAAUUACCAAAAUAAUUGAUAUGAAACUAAAUUUUAACAUAUUUUCAUUAUGAUGUGUCUUUUUAAUGUAAAAUAAAUGUAUUAAAGUUCAAAUAUGUGUUAUAAAAGCAACAUAAUAUAGAACAUCAAUUAUUAAGUCGAUCCAUUUUCACUAUAGAUGCGAUGAAUUAUCACUGUAUGGCAUUCAUUUCUGAUGUAGAAUUUUCGAAGAUGCGAUGAAUUUUUAUUGUAGAUUAAUGUGAUAAUUAGACUUGCAACAAAUGAAAAACUUAUUAGAUUGCUUUAAUAUUUAUAUUUAUUUAUAACUUGUUUAUGUCUAUAAAAACUGGCUGGCCAUUUAUAUCUUUUCCCACAGUAUUGACAUGUGUGAACUGUAUUGCCAUGUUUUCCUGCUUUGUGAUUCGCUAGGUCUUUAGAAGUUCCUGAUUACACAUAUCACACUGAUACUUUUUGUUGUUUUCUUGGUGCAUGUUGUUUCAAAUUAUGUUUGUAAAAAAAAUACUUUCUUAAAUUUAUAGGGCUUGUUGUUUAGGUGCUUGUUGACUUGGCCAUCAAAGAGUUGUUUUUAUACGAGGGCAAUUUUUUUUCGGUUCGUAUAUUGCUAUGAUGUCGUCAUCGUCUGCGUCGUCCGAAGACACAUUUGUUUCCAGGCAACUACAAUUUAAGUGAAUGGAUCUAUAUAAAUUUUAAAGAAGGUUCAAUACCACAAAAUGAAGGUUGGGAUUAUUUUGGGGAUGAUGGUUCCAACUUUUUACGAAAAAGGGCAUAAAAGAAGCAUUCUUUUUAGUUUCAGGAUAAUUUCUUGUGUAUAAGAAUUUCGAUUGCUCUGAAAUUGUAAUACAGCGUUCAAUACCACAAGUAGAAGGCUAGGAUUCAUUUUGGGGGUUAUGGUACUAACAGUUUAGGGAUGAAGGAACAAAAAAAUGGACAAAAAACAAUCCUGUUAACUUUAUAGUUUCCGGACAAUUACUUGUGUGUAAGUUUUUGGAUCUUUCUGGCAUUGUGCCACAAGGAACAAUAUCACAAAUUAAGGGCAGACUGGCAUACGAUACAGUUUUGAUCCUGUAUUUACAGUUUGAUGAAAAUGUCCAUAUAUGCUAUUUUUUGCCUGAUUAAAUCAAAUAUGUAAUAAAAAAUAUACCUUCAUGUGCUACUUUUUGAGUUAAAUGAGGUCGAAAUUUUGUAUAUUUGCUCAAAAUUCGGAUUUGUGGCCGUAUUUCCUUUUCGAAAGAAAAACAUAACUUUUUUGUUUUAAAAAGAUAAACACAAAUUGUUUUUGUUAAAUAAUUUGUAAUUUCUGUUUUUUAUAAGUAUUCUAAAAAAUUAUGCAUUUUUUAUUCAGAAAUAACUCAUAUUUAUCAAAUGGUUAUGAAUUGAGUAAAAAGGGUAAUUUUUUGCUGUAUAUUUAUCAAAAUUAAAAAAAAUGGAUUAAUUACAAUUUUAUAAAAUUUGAUCCACAUAAUCUCCCUGCAAAAUGAAACAAAAUGUCGUUUUAAAAAAUAGGGGUCCAUGCACUCGUUUCAAAUAAAAUCAAUUUGAAUGUUUAAAAUAAGUCGAAAAAUGCAUCUUUUCCCGAUAUGUCAUAGUUUGACGUCGCGAAACUAACAUUUUACGUUAGCAACGUCAUUACCUCCCUUGUAACUGUAUCGUAUGCCCUUAAUAUUGUGUCCAUAUUUGCCCCAACUGUUCAGGGUCCUAACCUCUGCGGUCAGCGAAGCAUUUUAAAUGUUUUACUACAAAACGAGCUGAUGUGAUUAAAAGUUCCUGUUGCUUUCUUCAUAUGGUGAGCCAGGCCAGCAUAGGCGUAUCAAGGGGUGCCUGCAAAAAUUUGGUUGAUUAUAUAUAUAGGAAUCACUGAAGCGUAUCUGGAGCCCCCCCUUUUUUAGGUCAUCCAUCGGGUCCGCCUUACAAAAAGUUCUGGAUCCGCCACUGCCCAGUUCUGCUUUUGAAGUGUUUGGAACAAUGAGUACAAAUCAGGCCUUCUCCAUGCUAACAGUUUUCAUGCUCAUUGAGAAGUCUUAACAUUUUAAUUCACACUGGUCACAUUUGUGUAACUCAUUAGUGUGGAUCUUCUUAUGCCUGUGAAAACUAGCUACCAAUUUUGUCUUGAAAGGACAAUAAGUGCAUUGGUAUGAAGACCCCUCCUUCUUAACUUUAGUUCUGUGGUUCAUCUUCACUUGCUUCCCGUAUUGUAGAACCCCAAAUGCUUCAAUAUUCAUAUUCUGAAGGAAAGAUAGUUUUAGCUCGAUUAUUGCUUGCAUGUUCUUUACUGUAUAAAAUGAAACGACAUGUGACAUAUAAAUUAUCCAAAGUCAUCAAAGCGUGAAAUGCAAGUCAAGUUGUGUAGGGCAAACUUUUUCUGUCAAAAAUAUAAACUGAUAAAGUUGCAUUGGUACAUGAUGUACGUGUUGUAGAGCACCCUUGAUACUACCGCAGAGGUCGAACCCCGAACAGUUUGGGGCAAGUAUGUACACAACAUUUAAGCAAGACAUCAUUUUUGAUGAAAUAAAGAAAAUGUUGAAUAUCGGACCCUUUGGACCUCAAUGUGGACCAUUUUGAUAACUUGGCCCAAAAUACCAAAAUCCCAAAAUUAAAAACACGGUGAGAUUCAGCAUGCCCAAGUACCCCAAAUAUUCAAUUGUUGUUGAAAUUCAAAAGAAUUUAUUUCUUGACAGUUAGGACCCCACAAACUUGUUAAAUGGACCAAAAAAUAAUAAACACAAUCAUGUAUGGAUUCAGCCUACCAAAGAACCUCAAGUUUUAUUUUGGACCCUGUGGGCCAAUUUAAAACCGGACCCAAAAUCAAAAAUCUUACGUCAAAACCUCGUUGAAAUUGGUCAAGAAGUGAUUUAUAAAAAAAUAUUAGAAAAGCAUUUUUGUUUUUUAUCCCUUUUUAUCCCAUUCUAUUUCGAUAGACAUGAUAGAUGUACGUAUUCAGUGAUGAAGUGUCAUUGCAUUGGAUAAAUAUAACUGUACUUUAAAUAAAGAUGCUGAUGAAUUAUGAAAAAAAACUAUGACAUGCUUCUUCUGCUUUGUAAAUAGACCCAUACUCGAAAUCCAAUGAUAAAAUUUGUUUGCACAUGCGUAUAAUGACUACUGCAGAAACAUGAAUUUUAUCAAAUUGGCAUGCAUUUUAAAAUAUAUUUCUUUAAUCUAAAACAGUUACACUUUCAACUCUUAAAUGAUCCACAUGUUGUUAUAUCAUGACUACAAUGUAUUAUAUAUAAAAAUAAAUAUUAAUUCUAUUGAAUUAAAUGGAUUGUUCAAUCAAACUUUCCAUCUCAAAGUCAGUACUAUCAAACCCUUUUCUUACUUUAAUCAUUGUUUGAGCAAGUCGGCUGAAUUAGGAAUUUAUUGCAAUAAAAAUGAAUAAAACUCAUACAGUGAAAAUGCACCGCUUAUACAAUACUUGUGAAUCACUAUACAGUGAAAAUGAAAGUAAAGUAUCAUUAUUCAACAGUAAACAUGACUCGCAUAAAGAUAGCAUAGUGGAAUUCAAUACAAUAUGGACAAACCGAAUAACAAAAGCUAUUCUACAUUAUACAACAUUAAUAAUUGUGUUGAAAUGAAUAUUUUUCUUCAACUACAUCUUUCCUGCUAGUUUUUAAUCACCUGCACGAUUUGUUCGUAAGACGUCCUAAAUAUUCACCUAUUUCGGUAUAUAUUAAACGUAUGGAUGGCUCUCGUCGCGAUAAAAACCCGUUCCCAUCUCUUAUUUUGUCCAACUUGUAUUAUUUAUUACUAAACAUUUACAUGUGAACUACUUUUCUUCAUUUUCUUCAAAUAUCAUAAUUUUUUCGUCUGCUUAUUUACAAUUCUUCAUCAGAAAUGCGUGGCAUAUACAGUGAAAAUGGUAUUUUAGGAUCCGCACUUUACAUACACUGAUUCUGGUUUGAAUUGUUUCACAUUUGUCGGUUCGGGGCCUGUUGUAGGUUGCACUUUGUAAAUACAGCUUUUUCACAAGCCAUGCCUUUUUUGGUGAGAUAUAUAAUGCGUAUAGAUAUUUUAAUUUGUUUACGUACUAUUUCCCAGUAUAAAAACACACGAUACCGGAGAAAAAAUUAAGUCUGAGACAGACCAAAAAUAAUGGUAGGGGUAGUACAGAAUUUAAGUUGAAUUUAUGUUUCAAACUUAUGAAAAUAUGUAAAACUGUUUCAAUACACUAUAGAUUAUGAUAUAGACACUUUGAUACUUCAAUUCUAGCAGGAUUCUUUUUUUACACUGUCAACGAAUCAAAUACUGUUUAAAGAGUUUUUUCAUGUUGUGUGUAUUUUAAUCUUGCCACAAUAUGUCUAGCUGUUCCAAAUCAGUUAUUUUCUCGGUGGUUGUCUUUUGUUUUGUAUUUUGAGAACUUGAUGGGAGGCCAUUGGCAGUUUUUUUCUCGAAUGAAUUCAUAAUGUUUUAUAUCAUCUAGGUACGAUUAAGGGAGCUUAAUAUAUAAUAUAAACAAAUGUGUUGCGUUGUUUACUACACUUCUGGAUUAUAAUGAAGCUCUUUUUAUUUUGGAGAUAAAUGAAAAUUAUUAUGUCUUAUGAGUACUGUUGUUUCCAAACAAUCAGAUUAAUUAGAACAUCAAUUUAUUUACAAAAAAGUAUACAUUUGCCAUUCAUACAUUAAUUAUAUUUAAGAGAAUAUUGACCUAUUGACUCAUCUUUUUAAUCUUCAAUUUUUUUUUCAUUAUAGAGACAAUCAUGACAAUGUAGCAUAUAUAUUUUUAUCUACCUUACUGAAAUUUCUUCAAGGUUAGGGGCUCUAGUGUACGAUAUUGAUUUGUUUCUUUAUGCCACAUAUCAUAUGAGCAUGCAUUUACAGUUAAUGUUUAAGCAUAAUUUAAGACUUAUCUAGUACUUUUUAAUACAUUUGUAGCUGUGACAAAGCAAAACACACGUGCAUAAAUUGAUAAUAUAAGAAUAACAAUUAAAUGUUUUUGAAUGCAUUAUUUUGUUUCAAACAAAUGUUUCAUAUUCAAUUCUAGAAGCUGACAAAAUAAACAAAACAAGUUUCCAAAAUCCAGUCAAAAUAAACAUUGCACAGAAGGCUCCAAAAAGAGAGAUGUUCAAAUGUAAAUACCGUAGACGUGUUAGAUGAAACUAAACAACUGAGCCUCGUUUCUGAAGUUUGCAACCAGCAACUGCUUUUUUUGUUUAUUAUAAUGAACCGAGGUAGGCCUGUUAAGACCAUCACUUGCUGUUAGUACUUCUCUAAGACGUUUUCCGUCAGGGGUGAUGAUUACCAUAUUGUUCGAAUCGUUCCCCACUACAUACAGGUUACCAUCAUUAUCUACAUCUAUACCAUGAGGAUAUUUCAGAACGUUUUCAUUUUGGAAUGUCCAUUGCAGUUUACCUUCUAAAGUAAAACAUGAAACAGUAUCUGAUACUCUGUUUGUAUGAUAUAUUUUGUCCAUAUAUGUUACCGUGUAACAUUCACUUGGCAUUUUAUCUCCAACUAUAUCAUGAAUAGACUCGUCAUUCAGAUUGAUCAUUCGUAUACCGUUGGUGUAUGCUGAAUAUAUCAAUCGGUUUCCAUUCAGUGCUAUGCCAUAUACAAACGAGUCCACUGGAAUAAUUUUCUUUAUUUGUUUCCGCUCCACGUCUAUAAUUGUAAUACACUGCUUUUUUGAAUUACCAGAUGAAACAGCUAAUGUAUUGUCUUCACUGAUGUACAAAAUAUCAAAUGCUAUACAUGGCAUCUUCACUUCAAAGUCUAUUAAUCCCUUACUAUUGAAUAUUUUUACUGUCCACUCAUAGUAGUAGGUAAAUGCCAUUCGACCAUCCAUUAGCAUGCAACAUCCGUAAAUGGCUUCUUCUUGGGUGUUUGAUGGUCUUUUGUAUCGUUAGUUUGAUAUUUUCAAUGGAUUUUGAUCGGACUCUGGGUACCAACAUUUGGGCUUGUUUGACCUUUUUCUUAAGCAGAACAAUCUCACAAGAUUUAGCGUCAAUUUGCACUUCUCCAAAACUUUUGAUUCCGCACAUGAUAUUCUCAAUAGAGGUGUUGAUUUCGUAUGAUAUAGAAUUUUGCGUCAAGGUAUUGCUUUUUACAAGCGACUGCAGGAACUUAUCCGUUUGUAAGACGUCUUCCUCCAUUUGCUUCAUUGAAAGGAACAUCUCAAGGUCUGUUGAGUGUUUCUUUAUGUUCAUAAUGUUUUUCUGGUAUUCUGCUGUUUCUCUUUCUUUAUUUUCUAAUGAUGACAAUAAAAGACAAAUUUUGGAAUUUUCUAUCUCUUCGACCGCAUUAAGUUGAUUAAUGAGAUCUUCUUGUAGUUUGUCGAGAUGGUUAUUGAUCCUAAUUCUGGUCUCCAUAAUUUCUUUUUCAAUUUCCUUUUUUUGUUUCUUCAAAGUUGACAGAUUGUCCUGUUGAUGCCGGCGAAUUUUCUGUAGAUUCUCUGCUACUUCAACUAAUGUUUCCUCUAUCUCGCAAACUGCGUUUGAAGUUUUAGCAUUAUGAAUGACUUCAUCUAGCUUUACGAUGUCCUGACAUGUUUUAUGACAUUCUGUAAUACACUUUCUGCAGCAAGGAGAUUCGUGCUUCUGACAAUACAUUUGAAAUUGUUCAUUGUGUUUGGCACAAUUCCUAGAAGCUUUCAGAAAAUCUGUUGGUAAUUUCUUGUAAUCGGUAAUGGGGAUCACACUGUGAUUCAUAAAUGUCUUAGACACACUAUGUUGUUCCUUGCAUUUUAUGCAUAGUGCCACGUCACAUUCUGUACACCAGAAUAAGGUUGUUUUGGUGAUGUUACGUUCGUCACAAGCACUACAGCUCAGAAAAGUCGCCAUGACUACAAACUACAAAAUGGUUUUCAUUAAUAUAUCAUUUAUCACACCAAUUGAACCAACAUCAACUUCUUGCAUCAGUCGCCAAUAUCAAUCAUAGAUAUCAAUCACGAACAUCAACCACCAAAAUAAAUCAACACCAUCCACCAACAACAUCAACUAACAUCCUUAUCCUCAUAUAUCAGUCACCACAAACACUGUACUCCGUCAUCUAUCACCAAUAUCAUUCAACACCAUCAGCAACAAACAUAUUUCUCAACACUCAACCAUCAGCACACUUACCAACAUCAACUACCAACAUUAAGUGCUGCCCAUUUUUGUUUACUCUUUGUUUACAUAUUUGUUUGUUGUAUAGUGAUUGAUAUGAUAAAACAUUGUUGACUGCUGUCCCUCUUUUUUGACAUUUUUACCUAUUAUAAAUGUUUGUUUUGUUCACACAACGUUGUUGAUAUGAUGGAGUUCUAUUCAAAUUUUAUAUAAGUGAGACGUUCAGCUAUCUAUUAAACCAGGUUUAAUCCACCCAAUUUUCUACAUACGAAAAUUCCUGUAUCAAGCCAGGAAUAUGGAAGUUGUUAUUAAUUUGAUUCAUGUGUUUGAGCUUUUGAAUUUGCCAUUUGCUUAAGAACUUUCCUUUAAGGAUUUCGGAAUUUUUGUAGUUUACUUUUUGCUAUAAUUGUGUUCCAUUUUUUUUUUUUUUAGAAAAAAUACAGAAUACAGUUCAUACGGGUAUUAAAAAUUGGGGUUGAACAUUUAUUAAUUUGCCCUCUAGCGAUCAUAAAUUCAGAAAGUUUUGACUUGGGGGAUCUUUGUUCCUUUAUUCCUUGAUACUUAAUCCUUUUACAGCAUUUUAUAUCCCCUUUCCUUCUUUAAUAUGUGAAUAAAUUUAGAAAAUUGACAAUUAAGUUAAAAUCAUAGAGUGGUGUUGUCAAAUUAGGACCGGUAUUUAUUUGCAGAUUUGAGUAUGUAUAGAAUUGUAGGAAAUAUACGGAAGGUAUAAAAACAUAAGAUAAAUUUCCCAACAAUUAUCAUUGCGACAUUGUCAUACCGAUACGCACGUAUGGCGAUUCAAUUUUUAAUGUGUGCACUAUAUUCACAAUUUUCAAUUGAGACGCCAAAUAAAAACUACAACAAAAAUAACCCAAUUUACGGUAUACUAGCUCAAAUGGAGACACUGUUACCAUAACAACCUGUCAACUAAUUUUGUAAAGACUAGCCCCGUUAUCAAUCUAGACACUGAUAAUAUCGAAAUCACUAAAUAAUACCUUAACAGCAUACAAUGGCAAUAGAAAUAUUUUGUCUAUUAAAUGAACGCACAUUUGUAUUUGGUAAUAAACUUUCAAAUCAUUAUGUAAAUUUUUUUAUAUCAAAAAAGCCUUACCAGUUGAUAUUUUGUGCGUCUAUGUCAAAAUUUUAAACAGAAUGACAAUAUGCGUCACUUUCCCCACUAAUAGCCAUUGAUUAAUUAAAAAAAUUCUGUUAAUCACAAUUUGCUUCAAAUGAAUAAUCCUUUUCACUUGUGACAAAAAACAUAUACAAAAUCAAUAGAUUGUAUUAUAAAAUGUAUUAAUGAUAGUUAUUCAUUUGAAUACCUUCCAUUGUACUCACAAAAUGUUUUAAAUGAAUGGUGUCUGAUUUAAGAUCUUUCUAUCAAGUCUCAUAUAUCAAACGUCUGUCUUUGAUCAGAGUUAUAAUAAUAAAAAGUACAACGUCUGUUGUACUAUAUUCUUAUCCCACACAUGACUCCCUGGAAUUAUUAUAAUGUUUAAUUAGACAUGAAAUGUUAUAUAACGAUUGCAGAAAUGAAAUAGAUAAACAAAUAAAAGAAGGAAAGAAAGGAAGCCUAGAGAAAUGAUUCGGUGAUGGUAAAAAAGAAUCUUAUAAGUUAAAGCAACAUGUACUUUGUAUUUUCAAUUUUGUUUUCAAUCAUAACAGAGACGGAUCGCUUAAAAUGAAAGGAGGUUUAUUCAAAUUCAGAACUUAUUGACGUGUUACAAAAAAUCAAAACCAUAUUAUAAUAUAAAUAGUAUUAAAGUACGGCUAAGUGCCACACGAGCAAUCAUAAUGCUUUUUGUUUUUUGUUUUUUGUUUUUUGUCAAUAUGUCUGUUAUUUUAAACUCUGUACUAUCCGUAUUUUCGCCUCGAAUGAAUGCAUCAUUACUGCACAUCGUUUGUUGCCCUGUUAUAAGGCUAAACUGCUGUCCAAAUCCAAUAUUUUAAUUUCUAGUGACAAUAACAAUUGCCUGUCCAUCAUUCUGGUAGACACCCUAUAGGAUAAACUACCUAUUGUGUGUAUUGAUGAUUUGUUUUCGACCUGAAAACAUAUGGCAUAUUUACCACUGGCAAUAAAUUAAUUGAUUUUAUACAUGUAUAUGAAUGGCAAAUAUUUACAGCUCCUAAUAUAAGACACCAUACCACAUAGUGGAUACGACCUAGAAUGAAAAUAAAUAAGAUAAUUUGCCAACAGCUGAAGAAUGUCUACUUUCCAAAAACACAUAAUUCCAUGAUUAAUGAAAGGUUUUCCAUUGGAACACAAACUGCAUGUUUUGAUUCUAACGAAAAAAUAAAUGUUAAUACUUUUUAUCUAUUUACUUAUUAAUGUCGUUUUUAAGAUAAGAGACAGUUAUUUGCGUCAUUUCUGUUUUCGUUCUAUGAUUUGUUUUUAAAUAACAAUUCUCAUAAAAAAUAGUAUACCUUGAACAUUUCGUAUACAUAAUUAAUUUCAAAGAAAAGUGUGGCAAUAUUCAGCAUGUGCCCUUUUCAUUUCAAAUCAAAUUUCGCUGAAUGCCUGUAAUGUCAUAUUUAUUUUGUUUAUUAAAUUGAUUUUUCUGACACAAAUAAAUUCAAAUAAUCAUAUAAACGACAUUUUGUAUAUUCUUCCCAGAUAAGAGACUAUAUUGUAUUUUAUUGGUUUACUAAUUAAAUCAAUCAAUGUGCAUUGUUUAGCUUGGUUGUGGGACUAAGCCAGCAAUAGUUCACUUAAAACUUGUGUACAUCUAUUACGAAAUAUAUUGAAUUGCAUAUUUGCUUUUGUUUCAAACACGCACCACAUUUUAUGUAUAAUGUGUAACUAAAUAAUUGUAAAUGGUUCCAAAUUUCACCUUUUAUGAAAACUUCACAGAAUAAUUUAAACAUGCCAUAGAGAGACAUUUUGACAUGUUAAAUUUGUUUAAUUCAUAUUGAACAAAUGAGCCGUUUUGUGGAAGUUCGCGACUAGCAACUUCUUUUGUGGUCCACUAUAAUGAAGCGACAGGAUCAUUAAGGCCAUCACUUGCUGUCAAUACUUUUCGAUGUCGCUUUCCAUCAGGUACAAUAACUAUAACUUUGUUUGAACUGUCCUCUGCCACAUACACAUUACCAUCAUUAUCCAUAUCUAUACCUCGAGUACUCUUCAGAACGCUUUUCUUUUUGAAUGUCCAUUGUUUUUAACAUUGAAGAUUAUAACAUGUCACAGUGCUUGUUUCAUUAUUUGUAUGAUAUAUAUUGUCCCUAAAUGUUGCAAUGCAACAUUGUCUGGGCAUUAUGUAUCGCACUAUGUCACUUAUAGACUCCUCGUCUAUAUUGAUCAUGCGUAUACUUUGUCUUUGUCGUGACUGGAAAAAUCAAUCGAUUAUCUUUCAGUGCUAUGCCAUAACUAUAAGAAUCCAGAGAAAUUGCUUUCUUCAUUUGUUUCUUUUCCAGGUCUAUAAUGGUGAUACACUUCUUCUCUGAACCACCAGGUAUGAUAGCCAAUACAUUAUCAUCACUGUUGUACACUAUAUCGAACGCGUCAGACGGCAACUUCACUUUAAAAUCUUUUAAUCCUUUCACGUUGAAUAUAUUUACCUUACUCUCCAAGUAGUAGGUAAAUGCCACUCUACCAUUCGGUAAUAUGCAACAUCCAAAAAUUUGGAAUCCUUGAUUGUCGAAGGUCUUUUGUAGCGUAAGGUUUAUAUGUUCAAUAGAUCUUGAUUGAACGGUUUAUACCAUCAUUUGGGCUUGUUUUGCCUUUUUCUUAAUCAGAACAAUAUUGUAAGAUUUAGCUUCAAUACGAACUUCUCCAAAACUUCUGAUAUCGGACAUGAUAUUCUCAUUAGCGGUGUUGAUCUUUAUGAAACAAAUGUUUGUUUAAAUUCCCGCCUUCUUUAAGCGACUGAAGGAAUUUAUGUUUGCUAUAGACGUCCUCUUCUGUUCGCUUCAUGGAAAGAAACACUUGACGAUCCGUUGCAUGUUGCUUGAUGUUGAUAAUAUUUUUCUGGCAUUCUGCUAUUUCAUUUUCUUUCUUUUCUAAUGAUGAGAAUAAUUGACUUACUUUCGAGUUUUCCUUUUCUUCUAUCGCAUAUAGUUGUUUCAUUAAGGUAGCACAAUACAAAGAUUUUGUCGCUCCCAAUCAGACAACUUUAAACUGAUGUAAUUCAUUUCAUCCUUCUUUAUAUUUUAUUAAUGAGGUACCAAAAGAAAGAAGAAAGAUUAAUCUUUCAAAUUGUGAUCAUUUCAUUAUGACAUAAUUAUUAUAUAAUUAAUUAUUGUGUAAUUAGUUGCUAUAUUGUGAUGUCCACACUUGAAUCAAUUUAGCUUCUUUGUUCUUUAUAGCAUCCCAAAAUAUUUUAUAUAUUCUUGUACAACACAGCUUGACCUCCAAAACUGUGUCUCAGAUUUCCAAAAACAUCAAUAGAACAAAUUUUAUACCCAAUUGAAUUUAAUGGUCUCUAAUGAAUUGAUGUUGCAAACUUCAUUGAAGAUUUAUGAGAGAAUGAAAUACAAUAAGAAAAAUCUGAGACACAGUUUUGGAGGUCAAACUGUGUAGUGCAAGAAUCUAUAAAAUAUUUGUGGAUGCUAUGAAUAACAAAGAAGCUAAAUUCAUUCAAGUAUAGACAUCACAAUAUGGCAACUAAUUACAUAACAAUUAAUGAUGUAAUAAUUAUGUCAUAAUGAAAUUAUCACAAUUUGAAAGAUUAAUCCUUCUUCUUUCUUUUGGUACCUCAUUUACAAAAUUUAAAGAAAGAUGAGCUACUUCAACUAAUGUUUCCUCUAGGUCGCACAGGGCAUUGGAAGUUGUGACAUUGUGAAUGACGUCAUCUAAUUCGACGAAAACUUGGCAUUCUUUAUGGCUUUCUAUGAUACAUUUGCUGCAGCAGGGAAAUUCUGCUUCUGGCAAUAGAAUUGAUACUUUUUAUCAUGUUUAUUACAGUUUUGACUGAUCAUUAGUACAGCAGCUGGUAAUUUAGUGUAUUCAGUAAUUGGUAUGACUUGAUGGUUUCUGGUUCCUUUUGACAAAUUAUGAUGCUCCUGGCAUUCAAUACGUAGUCCCUCAUCACAUUCUGUACACCAGACUAUUGAUGGUUUCGUAAUGUGACAAAGUUCACAAACACCACAGGUUUUAGAAGCUGUUGCCAUUUAACACACACUGCAAAUAACAAUAAUUAUAGCUGAUUUAAAACAACACCACCUCAAUUAAUCCGACAUCAAACAUGGUAACUUAAUUUAUUUUCCUGUCGAAGAGAGUUGACUCAGGCUUUCAGGUUUUCUACAUCAAUUUAAACAGGUUUCCUAAUAUAUCCAUGAGUACUGAAAAUUGAGUUUAAUAUCAAUACUCAAUCUCUGAAAUAAUUCUCAUUUAUCUCAUUUGACAGUUUUUUUUAUUCAAAAUGAAAAUGAAUUUGAAUAAUUGGAGCUUGUGAAUAGUACAGGGUCAAACAUUUAGAAUGAAUUAAACCGGGCCUUAAACUUUUAUAAAAGAUUAUGGAAAUAUAUAUAAAAAUCUGUUCAGAUUUGCUUUAAGUCUAAAGUUUAGUUAUUUUGUAGUUUAGGGUCUCAAAUAGUUAUUUUGCGUAUUGGAUUGGCAACUAGAUAUAAUUAAUCUUGAUUUCAGCUUAAUACAAGUCAGCUAUUUUAAUCGAUCAUUUGAUUGAAAGUGUAAGUUUGAUAAUAUUGAUAUAUGAAUUGUUAAUCAAUUAUAAAGCUAUAAUAUGUUAAAACAAUUAAAAAAAUUCCUACAGAAGAAUGUGUUAAAUGAUCAUAUUUACGUAUUUUGGCUUUUUUUUGUGGAUUCACAUUUGGUGUAAAUAUACUGGAAACUUUUCUGAUCUAAUAUUAAUCGAUGAUAUAUAUAAUACAUCAGAUAAAGUUCCAUUUCCUAAACCUGCUAAAUGAAUGAUUCCGUAAACGUGUAUAUAUGUAGUUCCAAUGAUUGAUGGUAUUAUACAGAUCGAAUUUCGUGUACAAAUGAAGAUAUUAUGAACGAAAAAAAUAACUUGCUCUAGAAUUGGGACAUAACAUAUAUAAAUGAAGAUAAUUAUGGAUUAUGUCCAAGCCCAAAACGAAAGUAAAAUAAAUCAUUCUACAAAUUUAACGUGUUUAGGUCAUUAGUUUAUUAGUUUAUUAGAAAGAAUUCAAAACAUAACAAAAGAAAGAAUUUAUCGUGGACUUAACAAAUAAAUCAUAAAAAUUACCUUUUUACUUUAAAAUAUGCAUUCCUCGUAUGGUUUACCAGCUCGAGUUUAUCAGGAAGGUCAUUAAUUAUUGAUUGUUUCAGAAAGUGAAAAAAGCCACAAAUUUUGAAUUUUAAAAUACACAUUAACAAGUUGGGUUGUAUUGGAAAUAAACGUAAUCAUUUUGGACAUGUUCUAUGUUCGUUUUAAUUUCAUUUUUUUAAAACUUAUUUCAGCAUUUCAGAAUAAGCUAAAACGGACAUUUUGCCAUUGAAACCGUACGGAUUAUCUUUGAUAUCUUUUAAACUAAAAAAAGUUAAACGGACAUGAUAAAAUGAUCAUCAGGUCAAGACCAUCCAUGUUGAUAUAUUCAGAUAAAUUGUGAACAGCCCCAUUUAACUGUUAUAGCCUCGGAAUUUUUCAUUCGUUGAAUAAUCCCAGCUAGUUGUGCUUUAGCUUAAGGACUAGUAGACGGAAAAAAAUAAAGCAGCACACAUUAUCAGGAGACAGCCUAUACAAACCAGUCCGAUCACACUUAUUAGCGACAAGAACUUGAAGAAGAACAUAUUCAGGAUAAGAAGAAGCGUGAAGAAAGUUUAUAUACUAUAUAAACAAAAACAAACAAAAAAAUAAAAUAAAAAAGUCAAUAAAUUACAGUUGAUUAUUUAUCUUUUGAAAAGUUUAAAGCAAAUAAUCAAAUCGUCAGUUAAGAAUAAAAGGUAAUGACCUUAAAUUACAAUGUUUACCAAUAUUGUCGUUUUUUUUUGUUGGUAUAUCAAACUUAAAAUUUUAUCCUAAACAUCUAUAACAAAUGGUUACAAAUCAAGAAAAAGUCAACAUGAUUGAAAUCAUCAGUUGACCACUUGCUAUUUGAGUGUUUGUCCUUCAAUGUCGAUAUCAAUCACAUUUUGGCAAAAAAAAAGGACAAAGAAAGAAAAAAUUUCAGAUCUACGCAUGGACAAAAUGAUUAAAACAACUUAAUAGUAGCAAGAUGAUUAUUUUAACGAUUUCAUGGGAAACACGAUAUAACGUCUGAUUUCAAGGAUAUGCACUACGUUUACACUCCUUGAAUCCGCCACUGCAGUUAGAAAUAUAUUUCAGGUUUGAUUUUUCUCUGUUGUAAAGAUCUCAUGCUUGCAUUUUUUUUCAGUAUUUGGUGAAUACAUUUUUCGUCAUUUUCUUUUUUUGUGGAAAAAACAGUUUUUGUUUUUAAUUGAGACUGUGUCAUGAUUAAUACUACUAUUUAUAGUUUUAUAUAUAACAUGUAUAAAUUGUUUUGGAGAACUGAUACCUAAAUAAAGAUAUAUUUGUAAUUCUUAUAUUGAAAUAUAUGCGAGUUCCUUUAAAAUUAUUGGAGAUACUUAAAUUUCUCUCCUAUUAAGAUAUUUGAAUUUUUUCCUGAUAUUAAUAUUGAUAAUACAUACGAAAAUAACAUUAUAUACAUGUGGUGCUUCUAAAAACCUUUUAUGGAUAAAACUUGUUCAGGAACAUUAAAAUCAAAACCUAUCAAUAUUAGUAACUAAAAAACAGACUUGAUCCUUAUACAAUUAAAACAUCUUGUGAAAGAUGAAGCAUGAAUUUUAGGUCAUGGUCAUAACUAAUGUUAAACUGACAUUACAUAAUUGAAUUUUUGAAGAAAAAAAAUAAGGCUUUUCUACCUCAGGAAUAGAUUACUUAGCUGUAUUUGGCAUAACUUUUAGGAAUUUUUGUCCUUAAUGCUCUUCAACUUCGUACUUUAUUUUGCCUUUUUAACUUUUUUGGAUUCAACCGUCACUGAUGAGUCUUUUGUAGACGAAACGCGCGUCUGGCGUAUAUACAAAAUUUAGUCCUGGUAUCUAUGAUGAGUUUAUUUGCAAACAAUCCUCAUACAUAUUGUAAGUCGCUCAAUUAUAGUCAGAAAGGAGGAGGCUUCAUUAUGACACCAUGGUUACAAAUAAUAUUCAGGUCAAGGUUAUAUGACAUAUCUCAGAUGAUCUCAGAUGAACACAUGUUUCCUUAUAUAUCACAUGAAAACUACAAACCAAAAUAAUGUUGACCUAUCCUGUAAACUUAUAAAGGAAUAGUCUACACCUCGCAAGCUUAAAAUUUACCACUGAAGUAUGACUUAUGUCUUCUUCCAAACCAAUCAAGGAACCCAUUGAUGUUGAUUUAUCAUGAAAAAUACAAAAUGCACAUACUACAAACGUUUAGCUAAUCGCUGAAUCAUGACAGUUUAUUCUCUCAAAUUAUCACCAAACAAGGUGAUAAAGACAAUCAUUCAUACUUUUAUAGGCAUAGACUUCAACUUAUAAUGAGACCUGUCAGCUCAAGCAUAUGCGUUUGAACGAAAAUGUUGUAUUAUAUGAUCAUUAUCAUUAGUUUUGUAACUACAUAAUUAUAUAUUCAUUUAUUAUGAUUUUUUAGAUUUAUAUACCUUUUGUUAUUCUAUUGGCGAUCUUUAUAAGUCGUAUCUCGCCAUAUGUGCACGUGAUGUCCCAAUAAAGAUAAUUUGUCAAUAUUUAUAUUUUGUCAUGAAAAAAUAUUUGUAUCUGGAAAAUUUUGUGCUGGAUGGUAGUUUAUAAAUAGUAGCAAUAAUAUCAGUGACCCACGUCAUUUGGUCGGUGGUAGGUAGUUCCCUCAUUUGCAAACACACCACAUAUCGUUGUUUUAUUUCUAUAAACAUGAUAAAAUGUAUUUACCAUGUUUACCGGCAACAUCGUUUCUGGUUCGUGAUGAUACUAGUGUUCUCAUUCCAUUAAAUGUAUUAGAAUACACAUGUUUAAUGAAAUAACAGCAAUAACUAUACAUAAUUUGUAAAUGAAUACGUUUAAAACACACACUACAUAUUAUAUUUCUGUCAGAAAGUAACUAAAUAGGUUUCAAAAUUCUAGAUAUUUUAAUCACUGCUCAGAAUGACCUAAAGUUUAAGAAGUUUUAACUUUGAAUUUGUUUAAAUAACAUCAAACAAAUGAGCAUUGUAAUUGAAGUUCGCGAUAAGCAGCUGGUUCUUUGAUCCACUAUAAUGAAGCGAGGCAGGAUCUUCAAGGCCAUAACUUGCUGUCAAUACUUCUCUAUGUCGUUGUCCAUCAGGAGAGAUAACAACAACGUUGUUUGAAGUGCUCCCUGUCACAAACACAUUACCAUCAUUAUCUACAUCAAUACCUCGAGGAGAUUUAAGAACGGUUACGUUACGGAAAUUCCAUUGUAUUUCUCCUUGUCGAUUAUAACAUGUUACAGUGUGUGUUUCAUUGUUUGUAUGAUAUAUACUGUUCUUAAAUGUUGCAAUGCAACAUUGUGUUGGCAUUAUGUCUCGGACUAUGUCACGUAUAGACUCGUCGUCUAGAUUGAUCAUUCGUAUACCUUUGUCGUAACCGGAAUAAAUCAAUCGGUUAUCUUUCAAUGCAAUGCCAAAACUAUUCCGAAUCCAGUGAAAUUAUUUUCUUGAUUUGUUUCUUCUCCAAGUCGAUAAUAGUAAUACACUUCUAUCUGUGAAUAACCAGAUGUGACAGCCAAUGUAUUGUCCUCACUGAUAAACACUAAAUCAAACGGGUAAACCGGCAUCUUCACCUCAAAGUCUUUCAAUCCUUUCAUGUUAAACACAAUUACCUUACAAUCCGAGUUGUAAGUAAAUGCUAUUCUACCAUCCGGCAACAUGCAACAUCCGUAAAUUAAUUCUCCUUGAGUGUUGAUGGUCUUUUGUUUCGUAAACUUUAUAUUUUCAAUGGCUCUUGAUUGAACGGUCGGUACCAUCCUUUGAGCUUGUUUAUCCUUUUUCCUAGUAAUAACUAUAUCGCAAGAUUUAGCUUCAAUACGCACAUCUCCAAAACUUAUGAUAUCGGACAUGAUAUUUUGGAUAGAGGUGUUGAUCUUAUAUGAAAGAGAAGUUUUGGUGAAAAUCUUGUCUUCUUCAAGCGACUGAGAGAAUUUAUUUUUGCUAUAGACGUACCCUUCUAUUUGCUUUAUUGAAAGAAAGACUUGAAGGUCUGUUGCAUGUUGUUUAAUAUUCAUAAUAUUUCUCUUGCAUUCUGCUAUUUCCUUUUCAUUAUUUUCUAAUGAUGACAAUAACUGACCAAUUUUCGACUUUUCUUUUUCUUCUACUGCAUACAGUUGUUUAAUUAAAUCCUCUUGUAGUUUGUCAAGAUGGUUGUUGAUCUUUAUUCUGGUCAUCUUUAUUUCUUUUUCUAUUUCCUUUCUACUUUCUUCUAAUGUCGUCAGGUUGUCCUGUUGAUGCUGUCGAAUCUUCUGUAGAUUUUCUGCAACUUCAAAUAAUGUUUCCUCUAUUUCGCAAACGUCAUUGGAGGUUUUGACAUUGUGAAUGACGUCAUCUAAUUCGACGAAAUCUUGGCAUUCUUUAUGGAUUUCCACGAUACAUUUGCUGCAGCAGGGGCAUUCAUGCUUCUGGCAAUAAAAUUGAUACUUUUUAACGUGUUUACUACAGUUUUGACUAAUCAUUAGUACAUCAGCUGGUAAUUUCGUGUAUUCAGUAAUUGUAAUCACUUUAUGGUUUCUGGUUCCUUUUGACAAACUGUGAUGCUCCUGGCAUUCUGCACAUAGUCCCUCGUCACAUUCUGAACACCAGACUAUGGAUGGUUUGGUGAUGUGACGGAGUUCACAAACACCACAGCUCAUAGAAGCUGCUGCCAUUUCACACACACU